rnacentral:lncRNA from 1 species
UGAAUAUUCUCUAAAAAGUGAUGAUAAAAAUUUUGUAAUCAUGAUCGAGAGUAUAGAUCUUGUUCUAAAUAGUUUAAAGAAUUUUCUAACCAAAAUUCAAUUGAUUUGGAUAGCUUUACACCGUUAAACGAGAAAACCUCUUAUAUCAACCAUUAAAAUUAUAAAUUUUGAAACCCUUUGAUCAUUAGGUAAAUGAUGUCGAAAAGAUUUGAAAUUUGAUUUCUAGAUAUUUCAAGUGAUAUAGAUCAUAUUCAACGGUGCAGAUCGUCGAUUUGAAAGCUCCGUCAUCGAAAACAAAUAGAUGGCAAUGGAGCCCGUUUGCUACUGAUGGCAUUCCAGCUCAACUCUUUCUCUCUCUCUCUCUCUCUCUCUCUCUCUCUCUAUAUAUAUAUAUAUAUAUAUAUAUUUUAAAUAUUAAUUAUUUUGUUCUGCUUUGUUUUGCAUAAUUGUAGCCAGAAUGAUAAAGUGAUAACUACUUGAAUUAUCGCAUAAGCAUAUAAAAAUGACGUAACUAAUAAUUUAUCUUUACAAGAUAAUCUGAUUGCUACCUCGCUCAGUGAUCUAAUCAUAUUUUGAAGAAGACGCAACAGCUGAAUAGUAGUAAUAUAAUAUUGACAAAAAUUAGUAGUUGAAAUGACUUGCAGUAAUUACCAUAGCAUUUGUUAAUUAAUAGAUGAGUUAAUCGUCAUAUUAUUACUUCAUAAAAAAACUAAUCUAAAUUUGAACUUAGGCCUAAUUUAAAUAAAAGUUAAACUUCAAUGUCUUAAUUAAUACUAAAAAGUUUUACAAAUAUGGUUUAAAGAUAAUUGUUAUAAUUAUAAAAGUUAUUUAGAUUUAGAUUUGGAAAAAUCUAAGGGUGUCGGUACCUUGAUUUGUUCAGAAGUUAUCUCGAUCUGUCUGAAAUAAUAUGGGUAAUAGCUAUAUAUAAGAAUCUAUAAAUAAGAAAGAGGAGCCUCUAACUGCCAACAACCUCCUUAAGAGAGGUUGGUCUGGAAAUACAGUAUGUGUGCUGUGCGGCACUGAAGAGAAAACGGUCAACCAUUUAUUCGUUCGUUGCAUUUUCCUACGUUUUCUAAUGGCAAUGACCGUCGAAAACGCCCAGCGGGGAGAUAGGGGAGACGAUGUGACCACGAUCUGGGAUCGGUUGAUGGCGACAGAACGACCAUGUACCACAAUAUCCGGACUGAUAGCCUGCUGGUGGGUUAUUUGGGAGGCUAGGAAUGGUACGAUAUUUCGGAACACUCGGCCAGACCCUCUUCAAGCUGUCCGUAAAAUUAAACAGCUAACGAAGCUUUGGGACCACGUUCUGACUGGUCGCCUGUAGUAUUUAUUUUGCAGUAGCUUUUUUUUUUUUUUCGCCAUUCCUGAGGCCGUCGUUGCCUCACCCAUGUAGCCUAGUUCAUCCCAUCAAUGAAUGAAGCGAGUAGCGUGCUACCCAUUUUUCAAAAAAAAAAAAGAAAGAGGAGUUUUCUCCGAUAAUUAUAAUAUACAGAAUCUCUCAAAUAUUCCCAAUAUAGUUGAACCACCAUUGUUACUUGGUUUUGGAGCAUGGAUUCUGCCAGAGGACUCUCGUAGCCCUCUGCAUAGACGUGACGUGCAUGCAGGCGAUCCAGUCAGACAGUCCAAGGCAUUGAGAAGAACCAAAAUGAUUCGAGAAGGCCCAUAGAUCGAGCAAGCUAGCAAUAUGGUAUACUGAACUUUAGUGUAAUAGAUUGAAUUUUGACCAAAUAAAUAAAAAUAUAUAUCAAAAUAGCAUAAUAUAUAUGCUAUUUGAAAGAUUUAAAGAAGUUAAAAAUAUGUUGGAAGUGAUUUAAGGGCGAAACGGAUCAAAAACAAGAAUUUCGGAACCAAAACUGCAAAGUGCUCCAAGAUUUUCAUUUUUCGAAAAUUGUUUGUCAAUUUUCGGAAAAUGGUCGGCUGGAAUGUGUUCCAGCUUUCUAUUUUUGAGGAAACUAUUUGAAUUUUCAAAAACAAGUUACGUCCCAAAAACUAGUUUUAGUUUUUAGAAAUUGGGCAGUGAAAUAAUAUUGGAAAAAUCUCUUAUUUUUGAGAAAACUGUCAGGGAAUUCUCAAAAUAGGCCAUUUUCAAAAAACCAGAUGUUGAUUUAUGCAAAUGAAUAUAUAUAGUUCGGCCUGAAGUUGAAGAUGAUACAUAUAUUCUUAUUAUAGUACACCUCCAAUAAGGACUCUUAUCGGCCCAUAACACUCUCACUCUUCCCCCCAAGAAAACCUUAAAUCCUCUCCCUUUCUUGUUCUAAAAGACCCUAACAUUAGCAUUCCUCCUGUUCCUUCUCAUAAGAAGAUCUCUUCGGCUUAUAGAAUUGGGAGCAAAUGGUGCUCAAAGAGAAGACACUCCAAGACCCUAACCCUAACUCCUAGGCAAUUUCUAUCAUCUAGGGCAAGGAGGUGAGUUUUGUAUACGGAAGGAAUUUUUUAGGGUUUUGUUAAAUAGAUGGUUUUAAUAGUUCUAACUUAGGUUGGUUCCACGCUUCGAGCCAUAGCAGAAACUCAUACUAAGGAUGCGACCAAAUUCACCACAGACACUAGGGUCACAACCGCUUCUUGUAUUGCAUCGAUAUAGAGCAGCUGUCAAAAGAGUACAUGAUAUCACAAGAUAAUCUAUAAAUUUCUCCAGUUUUAGCAUGAAAUGAUAAGUUAAAAAUAUUAGUAGUAUAAAUCAAACCUUUUGUUAUUCCUUUACAAAAACUUGUCGAUCCCAACUGGCAUAAGGUAAAAGCGUGUUCAAUCAAAUGUCAUCCAAAGGGGUCUCGGUAUAUUGUCGUGGAGCCAUAGGAUAUGAGGCAAUGGAACGAGCCAUUGUUACUGCUCUUGUGCACUCUAACACCCAUGGCUCAGUUGGCCACAUUGGUAACACCGAGCACUAGGGUGGCCCAUGGGACCCGCCAUGGUGUGCACAUGCGCCCGCCGCUGACCCUGUGAAUAUGAGCCAUGCGCUCCAUGCUGUGGUCGAGGAUGCUUCUGCCGUCUAUCAAAUUGGGCGGCCAACUUCACGUACGCCCCUACAAAUGGCCGCUUCUUGUCCCUGCCCCUAUCCGAGGCCUCCUGCCUCAUUUGUACCACCACCUCCCUUUAGGGGUGGAACUGGGCCGGGUUUGGGUCGGGUAAUACUAUGCCCAAGCCCAGUCCAAAUAAAAAUCAUUUGUACCACCACCUCCCUUUAGGGGUGGAACUGGGCCGGGUUUGGGUCGGGUAAUACUAUGCCCAAGCCCAGUCCAAAUAAAAAUGUUGGGCUUCGGGUCGGGCAUUUACCCAAUUUUUUUUGAAAAUAAAGGCCCAGCCCAAGCCCAAGCCCAAGCCCAAUGCCCAAUACCCAUCGGGCUUUGUGGAGGCCCAUUUUAUGCAUUUAUCAUAGAAUACAUAAAUACUUUUAUUUGUAUAAAAUUAAAAUAAAAUACCUAGUUUUAGUUUGAUCACAUCAAAGAAAUUAAUAUCUAACAACAAAUAUAUUCUAAUAUAGAACUAAUAUUUUGUUAAUAUAUAAUAUAUCCUCAUAUAUAUAAGUACAUAUCAUUAAUACCAAUAUAUACUAUAUAUGAUAUACUAUAUUAUUUAUUUCUUUUAAUAGAUAAAUAAUAUAUAUAUAUAUAAUUAAAUAUUUUAUUUUGAUAAUUAAUAUAUCGGGCUUUUGGGUCGGGCUCGGGCCGGGCUUGGACAUGCCCAAAGAGGCCCAAAAUUUUUUGGGGCCAAAAUUUUUAAGCCCGGCCCGAACCCAAAGUUAUAUUUUUAAUACCUAAAGCCCGGCCCAAACAUGACCCAUCGGGCCGGGCCUUGUUUAGGCCCGGGCCCAGUUCCACCCCUACCUCCCUUCGCUCAACCAAAAAGGCAUGAUCUUGCACCUCCUGGAAAGUCUUAUGGUUGCAAGAAUAGACCAAUUGGUAAAUCUCUGUCUUAAGCCCGCUUAUAAACUUCUAGGCCUUUUGAGCAUCACCCUGAAUUAUGUGAGUGUCGCAGUUCAAAAAGCACUUGAACCUUUCUCAUACUCCCAUAUAGUCUCCUUCUGUCACAACUUCUCAAAUUCAUCCUCUAAGUGGCGCUUCACACUAUCCGAGAAGAAGACUGUAACGUAUCGAAACCCAAAAACGAUAAUCGAACUUUAAUCAAAUUGGUUAAAGUAUCGAGAGAAAUGGAUUGGUGAGUUCCAUUUUGGCAUUCCAACAAGGUUGGAAGGGCAAAAAUGAGUUUAAGAAGUGUUGGAAUGGUAUUGGCAUCGAACGGCGCGAAGUAGAGUCGAAAUGAUGCAAAAAUAGCAUUCUGGAGCAUUGUGUACCGGUAUGCCAUGAUGGCUGUACUGGUACAGCAAGCGACCCGAGCACAGGUUGCUCUCGGGUUUGAGUUUGCGCGAAGGUGUACCGGUACGGGACCCGUGUACCGGUACACAAGCUGCAAAACCGAGAGACCUUGCUCUCGAGUUUGGACUUCUGCGCAGGCCUGUACCGGUACACAAACCCGUGUACCGGUACACAGGGGCUCUGGCAGCAGGGGUGAAGUCUGCUACAGAAUUAAGUUGAGGGGCCUAUUUGCAAAUGUCACAACAUGAUAUUUGGCCCAUCCCUCUCCCAUUUUCACAGCAAAACCCCUCUCCUCUCCUCUCCCUCUCAUUUCCUCUCUUUCUCUCUCUAAAAGCUUGGGCUAGGGUUUGGGAAAGAAGAAGAAGAAGCAAGGAGGAGAAGAAGAAGAGCUUGGAGAGGAUGUUGUGGCUCUCCAACAAAGUGGACUUGGGUGAGCUCGUGGCAAGGGUGAGUCCUUUUGCUCAUAGAACUCUAGGGUUUGGUUUUAGACCAUGGACUUUGGGAUUUUGAUCCUCUAAUUAUCCUAGAAACCCUCUAAAGGCAUGGAACAUAUGGAAACUUGAGUUCUUCAUGGUGCUCCCAUGGUGGAUCACUAGGGCACCAAGUGGAUGCCCUAGGGAUGAGUAGAAAUGUCACGCCCCGGGGUCCCUUUUAGUUUAAAACAUAGCGGAAAAGCGUCUGAAAUUUUUUUUUUUUUUUUUUUUUUUUCGAAAAGCAUGACCCCAAAGUAUGCCAGAUCCGCCACAAACAUAGGGAAUCCACUAUUCACACGUACAGAGUCUCCCCUGUAUUUGCACGGCGUCGCACAAGUACAAGAAGUCACCCAGGCACAACCACAAUAAAUGAACAUACAAAUGACCAACAGAUAUAUAUUCAUACACCAUUCACCGCAGAUUCAUAUUUAUACAUUCAAUAUUUAAACAUAAAUCCACAUCUAUAAGUUAAAAUGUUUCCAACCACCGAAACAGAUUUUGAAAUACUAAGAUGCAAAAUUCACAGAAAAUCUUUUGAAAACUGUUUCCUACACGGAAACCUUUAUUCUUUAAAAACGCUACCACGAGGGGUAGAAAACUUUUUAUUUUACAAAAUCCAGAAAUCCAUUUAUUACAUUCACGAAAAUCCAAAUUUUCAAAUGUAAUGAAAAUACUGAACCAUAUAACUAUCUAAGCUAUAACAACUGAAAUAAUAAGGGUAAUAACUAUACCGANUUAUAUUGUUCAGGCAUAUUAGCUGCAUUUGUUAGUUGGCUACUUACUUUCCUUUAUUCUAUUAUGCCUGAUUAGACCUAGUGGGAUAGUCGGCGUGGUUGGUUGCCGAACCCACUGGAACUUUGUUGUAGUUCUCACCCCACUAUUUCCACAGAGCCGGGACCGAGCGAGCCGGCAGCUGAUCGCGGUAAGGGCAUCGCGCCCUAGGUAGAGACCGCCCGAGAUGAAUUUCAUUUUGUAGUUGCACACCCUUUACUAUCAUCUUUUGUAUUUGAUGAUUUUAGUAUUACGAACUUGCUUUAAUGAAUGAUGUAAAGGAUAUUUACCUUAAAUGUCAAAAGCUAUAUUUUGGGACAAAUGAGAUGUAAAAAGAAAUGAUGUAAAAAUGUGACAGAACUUGAUUAUAGUUGUAUACAUGUAUGUGAUUUAAAUUUAGUCAUAUUACUUGUAUAUUGAAUUGCUAAUUCUUUCACCUUGGCUAUUGCUUGCCUUCGUGCAAGCCAUUGUGUAUGCUUCCGCUUAUGCAAAUUUUCACUCUAUUGAUACUUGUGUUGAGCCUUGGGCGGACAGGGAAAGCUCUGUCCGUUCGGCGUCUGUUUGACGCUCUCGAACCGGCCAAAAGGGAUCGGGCUCGGGGCGUGACAAAGACGCCAUACAACAUCCCCCAAAAUUGCUUCUAAGUAAGUGACAGCAAACUCGUGGAUAACUCUAACUUCACCGUUGUAACAUAUUGAAACCUCGAAGGAAAUUAUCGAACUUUAGCCAAAUUGACUAAAGUGCGCGAAAGAAUUGGUUGGACAAGUUUCAAUUAGCAUUCCAACAAUGAGUUAAGAGGUGUUGGAAAGGUUUUAGCAUCGAACGGCGCAAAACAGAAUCGAAAACGGCCAAAACUGCAUUCUGGAGCAAAGUGUACAGGUACAACCAUCGAGUUGUCACCGGUACAGCAUUGCAGGCCGAGAGGGAGAAGCACUCGGGUUUGAGAAAUUUUGCCUGUGUUACCGGUGACACUCCUGGUGUGUACCGGUACACUUUGGAAAAACCUGCGAGAAUUGCUCUGGGGUUUGCCUCUGCGUAAUCGUGUUACCGGUGACAGCAUCCCGUGUACCGGUACACUUUGGUCUGGCAGCAACAUUGAGACCUAUUGCAAAUAAGAAUAUUUGGGGAGCCUAGUUGCAAUUAUAGCACACCAUAUUAAUCCCAUCUCUUUUCCUUUCACAGCAGCAGCCUCUCUCCUUCUCUUUCUCUCAUUUCUCUCUUUCUCUCUGUAGAGAACUUAGCCUAAGGCUUGGAAAGGGUGGAGAGGAAGACUUUGAAGAGGAUUUUGGAGACUUUGGUGGUUCUAGAAGCUCUCCUACAAGAUGGAUCUUGGGAGGAGCUUGGGCUAAGAUAAGUUUUAGAGUAAAGCCCAUCUAGGUUUUGGAUUUAAUCCUAAGUUUUAGAGUUUUGAGUUUGUUUCUAGAGUUAGAAACUUUUUUGAGGCUUGAGCUCCAUGAAAACCAUGGAAGCUCAAGGUCCUCUCAUGGUGGUUAACUAGGGUUCAUAGUUGAUGCCCUAGGAAUGGUCUAAAUGGCUUAGUGAUGGUAUUAGAAAGCUUCCUAGGUGAUUCUAAGGUAGCAUUUGCUUAGAGAUGAGAUCAAUCUAGGAGAAAUUCCAUCAUGGCAUUGUUAGGGCUUGGAAAUUAGGGCUUUUGCCUCCGGUCAUUUUCGAGACAAAUUAACCUCUUGGAAACCUAAUUAGGAGUAUUCCCGACGCGUGGGAUAACUCCGUUUAACGUUACGAAAAGUCUAGAUAUCAGAUUUGUAUAUAGGGCCUAAUUCGGCACUAUUUUAGGUAUAGGUCGCGGGAGAAGCGUCCUAAAAUCACGAGAGUCGAACUACAACCCUUAAUAUUUAAGAUGGGGGGUGCACGCCGGAAUCAUCGGAUUUCCCUUUAUGUCAAUUUCACCUUUUAUUGAGCAUAUUGAUGUAUAUUCAUUCAUGCAUAGUAGGGUUAAAUUACAUGUGAACUUUGGUUUGAUUUCAUUUACAUGCUUCUAACGUAGUUGAAUAUAGAGAAUGAUAGAACCAUAAUGGACAUGUAUGGUAGAACCCUAAAGUUGUAUGAAUGUGAGACUUGGACUUGGACAAUAGUAAAGAAAAGCGACAUUGACAAUAGAGACAUAAUUGGCAUUGAGAAAUUGGUUGUUAAACAUAGUUUAACCAUAGUGAUAUUGUAACAGGUAUGACUUGGAAACUAGCAUGAUCAAAUAGGUAGAAACCUAUUAUGACAAUGACAUUGUGACUAGUGGCUAUGUAUUCUCAAGUUGAGGAUUGGAUCGAUACUCACAUUAACUAGGCUUGAAGGAGGUAGCUCCCCCUCAAGCGGUGUACUCCGGAGUGUAGACACCACGGGGAAAGUACCCCGUUGACGAACCCUCGGGUGGUUGAGCCUAAAGCCUCCCCCAGUAGACGGAAAUUAUGAUGGUGAGCUUUGGGGUUAACAAUUGUUGACCGGUUCAAUUGGGUAUCAGCCAAGGUAAACAUGGAAAAGCAUGCAUGCAUAACAUCCUACAUAAGAUAAUCUGUUAUUGACCAGUUUUCUUGCAGGCAUAGUAUUAGCAUUAUUGUUGGUUACUUUUCUACUUCUUUGAAAUACUUACGCCUGAAUAGAUCUAGUGGGUAAGUCGGCGAGGUCGGUUGCCGAACCCACUGGGAACUUCAUUGUAGUUCUCACACCACUAACCCUACAGGUUCGAGCGCGAGCGGGGCGGCGGAAGACUGAGGCAAGGAUAUUGCGCCAUAGCUAGUGGCCACCGGGACUUAUGCAUUUUUAGUCAUUCCUUUUGUACAUGUAUCAACUUUUCUUUGUUGAUUUAGAGAAAUAUAAAGUUUUAAACAAUCAGGUGUUUUGGUGGAAUGAUUAGAAUGUAAAGAAUUAUGGUUGAAUGGAAAAAGAUGUAAUAGUUUUAGUUCACUUGUAUUUAGUUUAAAUCUAAUCAAAUAUCAUGUAUGAUUGUAUGUUUAGCUUAGAGCUUUCGCUUCCGUUGUCGCUUGCCCUUAUGCAAGCCUUGUAUAAUUGCAAAAUCUCUUUAUUGUUUGUUUAAUUAUACUUGUUGUUUGAGCCUUGGGCGGACAGAGGAGAUGCUGUUCGUUCGGCGUCUGUUUACGUGAUCCGAACCCGACCAAAUUGGCGGGGAUUGGGACGUGACAACCGUCCUCCACCACUUGUGGGCCUUCCCACCCAAGCAGUGAGUAGCAAGUGGAAUUCAUCCAAGCAGUGAGUAGCAAGUGGAAUUUUAUCCUACUCAACAAAUAGAUCCUCGAAGAGUUCUCAAUGGCAUCAACCCACAACUCCACAAUCUAGGGGUUCAACUAUUUUCCGUUAAAGGUCCGUGGGUGAUAAUUCACGAACUUCGUGAGGCUAGCUCGAGCCUGCUCCCAUUCUAUUUUGAGCAUUGCUUCAUCGGCAUUAGAGGUAUGGGAGUUACUUGGUGUAGUUGCUUUUGUCGAAGGUUUGACUACCACCCUAUUCGUGGCAGUGUUGCAUGGCAAUAGUAACGGUGGCAGCAGUGGAUAUACGCUGAUGGGCCACACGAGAAGUAGGCGGGGAGCACUCGUGCCUGCCCUAUGGCAAAAGCUUCAGCCUAUUGCUGAGCAAGCUGGUCAACAACAUUAGUCAGGGCCGUCAUUUGGUCCUGAAGAGUGCGAAUCCAAUCCGACUCUGAUAGCUCCCUGACAAACGGGCACUCUGCACCAGCGCUCACACCCGAGUCAUAUCAAACCUUAACCACUUUCCAUGAGAUCAUGAGAAAAAGAAAAAGAUCAAACAUUGCCCUAGAAGGUGACUAGGAAUAACAAAAUUCACAAUCCCUCGAGAUUGAUGGACGCUUUCCCUUGACUCUUGACAUUACACCAUUUGUAGCCGUUGUGACCACUGAUCGGGGAGGAAAAGUGACACCAUCCUCUAUAAGACCCAAUCAAGACCACAAGACAUGACCCCAACAUUCCCACAACUUGCUCUCGCAUGCCUAGGUAUCCUUAGGCCCACUAUAACCUAAAUCUAGGUUUUGAUAUCAACUCAAUCUGCCAUGCCAUGAGCUAUAGUUGAAGGUCAUAAUGGGGAUGUGAUCAAAUCCGCCACAGGUACUAAGGUCACAAUCCCUGCCUGUACGACACUGAUAUAGAACACCUAUCAAAAGGGUACAUGAUAUCCCAAGAUAAUACCAUACUUUCUCUCCAAUUCUUGCAUAAAACAACAAGUUAGACACUAGUAGCAUAAACCAAACCUUCUACUAUUCUAUUACAAAUACUUGCCAAUUACACUUGUUUGUUAUGUACAAUUCCAAAAAUAUCGCUAUUACAUUAGUCACCCCAAAAUGUAAAGGAUCUAGAGUUCAGUUUGGGUACUAUCUACACGUGCCCUUGCCUGGUGCCCUUGCUCCUCUAAGCCCAGAUCACCUGGAAAAGCCCAGGGUGAGAAACUUUAAACAAACUUUCCAGUAGGGACAAUAGGCCGCAAGGGAUGAACUACACCUACUGGUUCACUCGGAAAUAAAAAGAAAUAGAUACUGAAAGUGGAUGAGAAAGUAUGAGUAAAAGUUAUAAGGAAUCAACUACGCUAUGAUAGCAUGGUAACAAUAACCAAGGAAAGCUCAUCAUAAAGUUACAAUAAAUAACUAGCUAUACUCAUGCAUCAAUACUUCUAAGUCCUCGAACUACCCAACUGUACCCAAUCUAAUCAUUGGUCGGUCAUAGGGACUCAACCUAAGAAUACUGAUGAAGCGUUGCCGGGAACUCACUACCAUAGUUACUUCAUUGCGCGCAAGGUUAGGCUUGCCACCACUGCUCUUUACUGCACAAAAGUGCGAUUGUCACAGUCACCGCAUAACAAUUACCGACUUCGAAGGGGACUUAAGGGCUGUGACCACCCAAAGUAUUUAUCUUAGUAUCACUGUACUGCAAGUUAUAGUCAUAUGCAAUGAUCAAGGAUCAGUAGCAAAUCUAAUAAAUACAUCCAAUCUAAAUGGCCCCUACAAAGCAUAUAUGUCAAUCAUGUAUGAGCAUGUCUAAUACUCCUACAAGGCGAAUAUGUCAAUCACAUAUGAGUAUCUGUCAAUGCUCCUAUAUAUAAGGCAAUGUCAAGUCAUGAUACACUUACAAGGCAAAGUUUGCUACUACCCAUACAUAUCCACAUAAUAAGAUCCCACGUAGCAUGCCCCUAAUAUCAAUCAUAUGUGCCUCUACAAGGUAAGUUUAGAUCAUGAAUUUUCAAUGACGGUUGCCGCUAGAAGGCUACGUUUUAACCUUGCACGUCAAAUGUCCUUACAAGGUGAUCCAUUAUAACAUUAGACGAUAUGAACUAUGAAUAUCACUAAGUAUAGUGUCAAAGUUAGGCAUAUUAGUUAACAAUUGACAUGCAACAUCUAUCCUCUCCUCAUACAAGCAUAUGUUAAGGGCACCAUGACUAUAUCAAGAGUUAAAAUGAGAGAAGGAUAGGAAUGGACGAACCAAAUAGUAAAGCAAGACCAUUUUUGGACUGAGUAUCCACCUUGAACCAUAAAUUCGACAUCUAUCACGUGUCGCCGGCUCAUUGAAUUUUAGUUGGUCAUAAGGAGAAAUAUAAAAACACCACAAACUCCUUUAGGAUUUCAAAACUCAACAUACUAUUAGACAUAUCCAACCAUGAGGCCUUAAGGCUUCAAAACUUGAACCCUAGUUCAAACAUGCAAACAUACACAUCUUUCCUUACAUAGGGCUUAGGGUUUCCAAACAUAACCAAAACUCCCACCAAUUAGGGAGAUUCUGCGUACAAACAAGCAAAUCUUAGAUUUUCUUCACAUGAUGCCAACAUACAUGUCUUCAACAUGUAGAAACUCCAAAUGAACUCCAAAACCCUCAAAACAUAAAAUCAACAGUACCAAAUCUAAGGAUUUAAGAGUUUAAGAGCAACUCACUUUGAUUCAUAAGCUUUUCCCUUCCUCCAAGAAAUCUCGCUUGUGUCGAGGUUGUCAUUUCCUUCUUUCGAAGCUUCUACUCCCACCUAUGCAUUCUGACGAGCAAGAAUCUACCCUCUAUUUUCUUUUAAACUAGAAGGAGAGGGAGCAAUGGUGAAGAGGGCGAAAGAGGGUUGGAGAGGGAGAAGAGAUCAAAAGAGAGAGAAGGGAGAGGAGAUUAGGGCUUAAGUUGGUGCUAUUCAACCUGAGGGGUCCCCUAUAUAUAGAGGGGUUGUACUUAUUGCAUGUUAACCCCUCAACCGAAGCAAAAUAGUUAAAAAAGUCCUCUCUCAAAAACAGCUUUAGAUGCAGAAGGUUCACACUUAUAGAAGUCUGGAUCUUGAAUGUCCUUCCAAGUACGCAGCCAAGGCCCGAACUCCGAAGUCUUAGUUUUCAAGGACUUUUUCCAAACUUCGUUUUCGAUCUGUUUUUAUCCAAACUUAGCCUAGGCUAACUCUUAGAUAUCCAAACUUAUCCAAAUUGUGUUUGGAUCUGUUUCAUCUGUAUUUUAUCAUGUUUGGUAAAGUUUAAUAUACUAAAUUGAAGUUUAGUAGUUGGAACUUCUUCUGUAGAAUGGAUUAGCGGCUUCGACAAUAAGAAUUCACUUUAUGAUGAGGCCUAGUGAGUUGAGAUGGGUUAUGCCUGCCAAAAUAGUUGAAUCAUUUGCUCUAUAUCUAAAAUUCCUUUUCCUCUACCUAUGAUUGAACAAUUGGCUUAGUAGUUUAGGGUUCAUGGUAUUUCUUUCAUACUUACUUGCCAUGUAUGUUUUAUAUUUGUUGAUAGAUACAACUCAUUUUUGGAAAUAUAUGAUUUAGCAAGCAUAAGUAAAAAUUGGCACCAUUGUUAGUCUUGUAACUCUAGAAUUUUCACAAUUAGUAGUUGAAGCUACUUCAUUUAGAACUUCUAUACCUAGCAUAUGAUUUUCAUGAUUAGUAGUUGAAGCUACGUCAUUGAGAACGUCUAUAAUUGACAAUGACAAUUUAUACAUUUUGGAAAAAAUAGUUGUGGCAUGUCAAGAUUGCCAUUAUAAACCAUUUUCCUCAAGAUAAGCGUGCUAGAACAGUAGAGUCUUAAGGUCCCACUAUUGUUGUAACACAUGGACCUUUACAAAUUGCGAGGUUCGGGUGUUUGAGUUGUGUUACGAGUUUUUCCAGCUUUUCUUGAGGGUCGUUGACAGUGUUCCGACCUAUGACUCGCAUCCCGAGAAUCGAGGGUUUAACUUAGCCCAUGAUUUGGAGUUGGCGCCGUCAGAUCUUUACGCUUGAAAGCUAUGGUCCAUUAUUUAUGCGAGCGGUGUGAGUUUACAUGAUACAAGACUUAAAGUACUUAUUUACUCCAAAGAUUAACUUGAAUCGCGAUAGAUUUUGGGCUACUGUCAAGAUUAUGAAUCUGACGAUUCUUUAACCACCCAGCAAGCUAAUGGUCGCGAUGCACUACAUAAGAAAUCGACGGCGAAAACUUGGGAUGCUUGAUUGUUACUUCAACCGGCCGUUUGUUUGAGCAGAAUGAAACGCGUUGGAGUGGAGUGGUGGCUCCUAGAACAGCCCUUGAGACUGAGAUGAACCUUGUGUGCAAUCACUUUAGAAAGGAUAAAGAGAGCAAGCUCAUGAUGUGGAGUUGCAUAAGGUUAGAGCAAAAGGGUUGAUGGUUGCACGGUAUUUCACACCGUGGAUGAAAUCUUGGAUUGAUGCGUUUUCCUCGUGGGCGAUUUGGUUACCAGCGAAUCGGCACUUAAGGAGAAUAUUCUUCAAACGCACACCGUGCACAACCUAUGCCUAUUCAUCCGGAGCACCAAGAGUAUAAGGACUUGAAGUGCUUUAUUGUGGCCGAAUGAAAAAGGAGUGGCGGUUUGUAGCGUUCGAUGUGCUAACCUUGCCAACAGGUAAAGCUGAGUCGGCAAGUUUCGCGCCGGACAAUUGCAGAGCUUAGAUUCUAGAUAGAAAUCGAAGAAGAUCACCAUGGACUCAUGAGGGAUGACUCGCAACCCAGGCCGGGCAAUGACUGCUAUUGAGGUAUAUCGAGAAUAUAUAGGUUUACGAAAUCGGCUCAUUAUCUAUACCUAUGAACACUACUUGGAACGCGAAGAGACUCGCACAGGAUAUUCUUGAUGAGAUUUGUGCGAUAGGCACGGGAUACCUAUUUCUAUAGUUCAGAUCGAGUCUCCAUUUUGUAUCUCACUUUUGGAGGAUCUGUAGAUCCUGCCACAGCCUAUGGAUGUCAUGCACAGCUUCCACCCCUAGAGGCUGGGCAAGUCAAAAACACAAAACGAAGCGUCAGCGAUACAGACUCUAGAGGACAUUCUUCAUAUGCAUGUGUAAAUUGAUUUUCAGGGAGGAUGGUCGUGAGCAUCUACUAAUGGCAAAGUUACUUAUAACACAGUUAUCCAAGCGAAGACAAAGACGGCACUUUCGAGACAUACUCUAUGGCGGAAGUGUAUGAUCGCCACUGCUCAUUAAGAGUGAAAGCUGCACAGAUUGGCUUUAGGCCCAAGUGCUCCAGAAAGUAAGGACACAGUCCGCAUUGCUCGGGAUGCAGAUUGUUGACAGCGCCAGAGUAUGCUCAAAAAGUAUAGCUAAAAGUGUCCGACGGAAACUUGGAGUUUCUUGAUUGGAGAUAUCAUUUUCUCCUUGAAAGCCGCGCGACUCAAAGGAAAUUAGAAUAUUUGGGAUCCGGGAUAAUAUUGAGCCCCCCCGAUCAUUGGAAAAACCCCCCGUAUGCACGAGUUUGAUGUGUAGCCGUAUAAGCGUAUUCGAACUAUACUCUAGGAGCAAACCUACUGCAUGUUACACACUGGUCUGUCCUUCCACAUAUUGAUCAUUCGAAAAAAGUACAAUCUGCGAUUCUGCUCAUAUAUUUUUUGGAUGUCUCUAUCCGAUUGGAGUCUGAAGGGAUGAUGUAGAGUUUUGAGCAGUCAACGCCGAUGAGAUUUUGCUCGUUAUGAAGAUAGCUGCUGCAGAAAUCCGGAUAAAUUCCGUAUGGUUGAAGAUUUGGGCAGCCACGAAUCUAGCGGGAGGCCACGUGGAGCUGAGAGCCGCGCUGUGAGUGCUAAUCCCGCAUCUUUUUCAGAUUGGAUCAUGAGCACCUUGCUUUUCCGAGUUUCGAGGACGAAAAACUCCUUUUGAAAGGGUGAAUGCCUUCACACAUGUAGUGUAUGGAUAAUUCAAAACUAUGUUUAAUUUGUGAAUGCUACUAGUAUAUUAUUAAUGAAAUACUAUUCUAAUUUGAAAAUGAUUUAAUUCGUUUGUUGAUAAUUUGGGUUUUGUACAUAUUUGUGAAUGUGAAAGAAGAUCAUGUAGAAUUUAAAUAAAUAGCAUGCUGAAUCAUGAAAUCAUGAAAUAAUUUUGUUUUUAGCGACAGGAAGAUUGGUCGUUAUAAUAUCGCUUUAAAAUUAAUUAUUAAAUGGGAUAUUUUUGUUAGCGACGGAAAAGUUGGUCACUAUUGCAUGCUAGUUAUUGGUAAAAUUACAAUGCUAAAUCUCAACUGCGUCGGUAAGAUUGGUCGUUACUUUAUAAUUUUUUGAUCAUUAAUACUACUCAUUAACGACGGGAAGGUUCCCAUCAGCUUUUGUUACUAACGACGGUUACAUUGAUCAGGUCGUUAAUGCAUUUAACGAAGGAAGCAAUAACGACGGUUGACGACGGUUUUCAUGACCGUCGUUAUUGUGUUUUAACGACAGGAAAUAAAUCUAUAACGACCGUUUUUCCCUUCUUUAUAUAUAAUAUUUCUUGUAGUGUACGUGAUCUGCGGUGGUCCUCAUUACCCACGGCAAUGCUCUCGCAGUCGGGGCAGGUGCUACUUGUGUGGCCAGGAGGGCCAUUUUCAGUCGGACUGCCCAAGGGGAUCUAUCCCAGCGCUAUCUUCAGCAUCGGCACCAGCUUCAUCGGGUCCCAGCCAGGGGACGCCUUCUGCUCACUACCUGGCCGGGCGGCCACUUGUUCAGAUGCAGAGGGAGGGGUCAGGACAGGCCCCGAGCGGGCGCAUGUAUGCGGCCCAGACUGAAAAGGCGGCAGCAGUCGAGAAUGUGGUUGCAGGUAUCAUUUUAUUAUAUGGCAUUCGAGUUCGUGCAUUAUUUGAUACCGGUGCAUUGCAUUCAUUCAUGGAUCGGCUAACAGCCGAGUUGUAUGGCAUUCCACUAGUUUCCCUGUUGCAUCCGGGACGUGUUGUUGUUCCCGACCAUUCCUUGGUCAUUAGGGAGUUUUGCCCCAGUUGCCCUAUUCGGGUAGGAGAUUGGAUCAUGCCUGUGGAUUUACUUGCUUUGCGUAAGCUCAGAGAGUUUGAUGUUGUCUUGGGCAUGGAUUGGUUGACCAAGUAUUUCGCCACUAUCGAUUGCAAGAAUCGAACGGUGACUUUUAGAAAGCCGGGGCAGGAGGAGGUUGUGUAUAGAGGAUGCCAGAGCUCACUGUUUGCGAUGACGAUUAGCUCCUCUCAAGCUAGGCAGCUGAUCAGCAGGGGUUGCUUAGCCUACUUAGCUAGUGUAGUAUUGAGGGGUGAUGCCGACGCCCCCAGGAUUGAGGAUAUUCGGGUUGAACGGAAGUUUUGCAAUGUGUUUCCAGCAGAGCUUCGAGAUAUGCCACUUGAUAGGGAGAUUGAGUUUGUGGUAGAUCUCGUCCCUAUGACUACUCCAAUCUCAAAGGCACCCUAUAGGAUGGCACCAGCAGAGUUGAAAGAGCUGAGGGCAUAGUUGCAGGAUUUGUUGGACAAGGGUUUUGUUCGCCCGAGUGUCUCGCCUUGGGGAGCACUGGUUCUGUUUAUUAAGAAGAAUGACAGAUCACUUCGCUUGUGCGUGGACUAUCGUGAACUUAAUAAAGUCACGAUUAAUAACAAGUAUCCGUUUCCAAGGAUUGAUGACCUGUUCGAUCAGCUUCAAGGAUCGAGUGUGUAUUUCAAGAUCGACUUGCAGUCGGGAUACCACCAGUUGAAGAUCAGGCCUGAGGAUGUGUCGAAAACGGCUUUUAGAACACGGUAUGGACAUUACGAGUUUACUGUUAUGCCGUUUGGGCUUACUAAUGCCCUGGCAGCUUUUAUGGAUCUAAUGAACCUUGUUUUCAAGCCUUAUCUAGACAGGUUCGUCGUAGUAUUCAUCGACGACAUUUUGGUCUAUUCCCAAAGUGAUGCAGAUCACGAGGAAUACUUGAGACUUGUACUUCAAGUGCUUCGGGAAGAGAAGCUCUAUACCAAGUUGAAGAAGUGUGAGUUUUGACUUAGAGAGGUGGCGUUCUUGGGCCAUUUGAUUUCAGGAUCAGGUAUAGCUGUGGAUCCUAGGAAGAUCGAAGCCAUCAAGGAUUGGCCGAGGCCGACGAGCGUCACCGAGAUUCGGAGUUUUCUUGACUUGGCCGGCUACUACCGGAGAUUUGUUGAGGGAUUUGUAAAAUUGUCUACUCCCCUCACGAGACUCACGUAUAAGGGCACCAAGUUUAUUUGGAAUGACGCGUGUGAAAAAAGUUUUCAAGAGUUGAAACAAAGAUUGACUACAGCCCCGAUCCUGACCUUGCCAGUUGCUGGAGCAGGGUAUGUGAUUUAUAGUGAUGCCUCCUUUAAUGGAUUAGGUCGUGUUUUGAUGCAGGACGGGAAAGUGAUCACGUAUGCCUCUCGUCAAUUGAAGGAUUGUGAAAGAAACUAUUCUACGCAUGAUUUGGAGUUGGCGGCCGUAGUCUUUACCUUGAAGCUAUGGUGCCAUUAUCUUUAUGGCGAGCGGUGUGAAGUUUACAUGGAUCACAAGAGCUUAAAGUACUUAUUUACUCAGAAGGAGUUGAACUUGAGGCAGCGUAGAUUGUUGGGGCUACUCAAGAAUUAUGAUCUGACGAUUCUUUACCACCCAAGCAAGGCUAACGUGGUCGCGGAUGCACUAAGUCAGAAAUCGACGGAAAACUUGGCGAUGCUUGUUGUUACUCAACCGCCGUUGUUUGAGCAGAUGAAGCGGUUGGAGUUGGAGGUGGUGGCUCCUGAUACACCCUUGAGACUGAUGACCUUGGUGGUGCAACCUGCACUUUUAGAAAGGAUUAAAGAGAAGCAAGCUCAUGAUGUGGAGUUGCAAAGGGUUAGAGCUAAAAUGGUUGAUGGUUGCACCGGUGAUUUCACCGUGGAUGAUCUUGGAUUGAUGCGUUUCCGUGGGCGGAUUUGUGUACCAGCGGAAUCGGCACUUAAGGAGAAUAUUCUUCAAGAAGCACACCGUGCACCCUAUGCUAUUCAUCCGGGAGGCACCAAGAUGUAUAAGGACUUGAAGUUGCUUUAUUGGUGGCCCGGAAUGAAAAAGGAUGUUGGCGAGUUUGUAGCUCGAUGUCUAACUUGCCAACAGGUAAAGCUGAGUACCAAGUUUCCGCCGGAAAAUUGCAGAGCUUACCGAUUCUAGUAUAGAAAUCGAAGAAGAUCACCAUGGACUUCAUGAUGGGAUUGCCUCGCUCACAGGCCGGGCAUGAUGCUAUUUGGGUGAUCGUAUAUAGGUUUACGAAAUCGGCUCAUUUCAUACCUAUUCACACUACUUGGACUGCUGAGAGACUCGCACAGGUAUAUCUUGAUGAGAUUGUGCGAUUGCACGGGAUACCUAUUUCUAUAGUUUCGGAUCGAGAUCCCCAUUUUGUAUCUCACUUUUGGAGGAGUCUGUAGGAUGCCUUGGCCACGCGCUUGGAUUUCAGCACAGCUUUCCACCCCUAGAGUGAUGGGCAGUCAGAGCGCGCGAUACAGACUCUAGAGGACAUGCUUCAAGCAUGUGUAAUUGAUUUUCAGGGAGGAUGGUCGUAGCAUCUACUGAUGGCAGAAUUUGCUUAUAACAACAGUUAUCAAGCAAGCAUUAAGAUGGCACCGUUCGAGGCACUCUAUGGACGGAAGUGUAGAUCGCCACUUCAUUAGAGUGAAGCUGGCGAGAGAUUGGCUUUAGGCCCAGAUGUGCUCCAGAAAGUAGAGGACAAGGUUCGCAUUGCUCGGGAGCGAUUGUUGACAGCCCAGAGUAGGCAAAAGAGUUAUACUAAUAAGUGUCGACGAAACUUGGAGUUUCUGAUUGGAGAUCAUUUCUCCUUGAAAGUCUCGCCGACCAAAGGAAUUAGAAGAUUUGGGAUCCGGGAUAAGUUGAGCCCCCGAUUCAUUGGACCGUAUGAGAUUUUGGAGCGUGUAGCCCGGUAGCGUAUCGACUUGCUCUACCGCCAAACCUAUCGCAUGUACACAAUGUCUUCCACAUAUCGGUCAUUCGGAAGUACAUCUUCGAUUCGGCUCAUAUUUUGGAUGCUCUACCAUUGGAGCUGAGGGAUGAUUUGAGUUUUGAGCAGCAACCCGUGAGGAUUUUGGCUCGCGAUAUGAAGAAGCUGCAGAAUCGGGAUAUUCCGUAUGUGAAGAUUCUUUGGAGCAGCCACGAUUAGCGGGAGGCCACGUGGGAGCUGGAGAGCGCGCUGCUGGAGUGCUAUCCCCAUCUUUUUCAGAUGGAGUCAUGAGAUACCUUGCUUUCGAGUUUCGAGGACGAAACUCCUUUUUAGAAAGGGUGAAUGUAACACACUGGACCUUUUGCAAAUUGUGAGGUUCGAGUGUUUGAGUUGUGUUACGAGUUUUUCUAACUUUUCUGGAGGGUCGUUGACAGUGUUCCGACCUAUGGCUCGCAUCCCGAGAAUCGAGGUUUUAACUUAGCACCAAUGUCUCCAAAGUGAAGAUUAUAGGGUUGCUCUCGGGUUUGUCUCUGCAGGAAAGUGUACCGGUACAACAUUGAAGUUGUACCGAAACAAGAGGUUGUACCGGUACAACAUUGGAUUUGUACCGGUACACAGAGCUAUUUCUACCAACCCGAGCCUCGGGUUCGCACGUACUGAGAGUUUUGUACCGGUACACUUUCCCGUAUACCGGUACACAAUGCAGAAAUGCAGUCUGCUGUUUUUUAGGGGUGUUUUUGGAAUUGUAGCCUAUCUAUAUAACACCCCACGCCCCAUAGAGGCUUUCCUGUGCUGAGAACAGAGGAGAACCAGGUAGAGGACCCCUCCACUUCCUCUCUUUGAUUUCCUUCCUUUUUUUUGGAUUUUUAGAGGAAUAAUCAUCUCUUUUUGCUUCUUUUGGUAUUUUGGUGACCUACGCACCAUUGGAGAAGCUUUGGAAGGAAGAUUGGAGCUUGCUUGAGGAUUGAUCUUCAACCCUAGUUGGUUUUGGGCCUUGUUUGAGACUUCUUAAGAGGUUAGUAACAUGAUUCUUGCUUUAGAUUCAUGUUUUGAUGAUUUUUGCUAAAUGAAACCCUAGAAAUAGAUAUUUAGGGUUUAAAUUGGAGAUUUUUGAUUUAGGAUUUUUGGAGCUCAAUUGUUUGGAUUAGAACCUCCAUCUAGGUUGGAUUGGAAGGAUUCUAACUCUCAUUUGGAGAUUGAGAGAGUUUUUCACCAUUCAAGGUGAGGUUUUGCCUUAUUCUUUGGGUUGGAUAAUGUUUAACCUAUGUGUUGUUCGUAACGUUCGUGUAACUCUCAUAGUUUCACCUUUAGGGAGUUAGGAGGCUUGUGGGCACCUUCGUCGUCUCAAACGAACGAUCGUGAGGAGACUUGGUAAGUUUGACCUCACCAAAAUGAGAUAAAUUUCUCAUUUUAUGGUUAUACUUGUCGUAAAAUGAAACUUCAUAUAUAUUCAUGAUAGAUAGAAUAUUUAUGGAUUUUAGAAUGCUUAAAAUGCACUUGUCAUAUAUAAUGCAAAUUUGGACCUCUAUGUAGUAGAGAGUUAUUCAUGUUGGAAUCAUGCAUUUUGAUAGCAUUCUUAUGUAUGGCUUGGGAUCACAUUUCAAGUAGUGGAAAUGAUGAGUAUAAUAUGCUAUUGAAUUUAGAACUCAUAUUGACCUAAGAGAAAACAUAAUGCCAUAAAGGGGCAUUAGAUGUAUAUGAUGUAUGAUAUAGCAAGCUAAUGUCACUUGUCAUGUAUAGACGAAAAAUGUUUAUGUAUACGGGUCUGUUAGCGAGCCCGGGGAACUUGGUAAUCUUAGACAUGACAGUUUUAUUCACUAUUUUAUUACAAUUGGUAUCGAGGCCAGCAUACUUCUUCCUGUCUAUGAUUUGUUUUGGCAUUCGAUAUUUUUACAUCUAUUAUUACAGAAAGCCUCAAAUAUUUUUUGGCAAAUUUUGUUAAUAGAAUAUAUUCUUUUAUGAAGAAUUGUCUAUUAGAAAGUUUAUACAUCAAAAGCGAGGUUGGUUCAAAAUGGAAAAUGAAAUCAGUAUUGGAAUCAUAAUAGACAUGAAUUGGAAAUAGCAUGAUAAAAUCUCAUAAUAUGCUUGGUUCAAAAUAACAAUCAUAAACGGUAUGAUUGAUUUCUACUUCCUUUCUUUUAAAAAAAUUUGAUUAUCAAAAAACAAUUAAAAUAAAAAUAAAAUAAAAUACAAAAUAUAAAAAUAAUUUAAAAUUGAGUUUGCACCUUAAAACAAAAAAUUAAUUUUGUAAUUAAAUGCAAACUAAAAGUUAAAUAUUAAAAAUUUACAUAAAAAUAUUGAAAUGAUAAGAAAAAAAUUUAAAUGUAAUUUUUAAAAAAUUUAAAAUUUAAAAUUGAGUGCACUUCAAAAUAUAAAACUAAUNNNNNNNNNNNNNNNNNNNNNNNNNGACCCAAGUUCAACAUGCAUGUGUCAUUUAACAUAAUCCACAAUAUGUCAAUAUACAUUCAUCUAGUAUAUUCUACAAUAAAUCAACAUGCACUCAUUCAUUAUAUUCCACAAUAUGUCUACAUAUAUAUGCCAACCAUUCAUAUGCCAUCCAACAUGUUCUAUAAUUUAUCAACAUGCAUAUUACCUCUAACAUAUUACUAUAACAUUAUUUUCAUGCAUUCAUGUAACAAUUAACUCAUGCAUUUAUCUAGCAUUUAACACAUUAUAUGUCAUUAUGCAUGUUAUCUCAACAGUAAGUAACAUCGACUAUAUGCAUCAAUUAGAAAAUCAUUACUCUUAGACAUAUAGGCGACCUAGUCGCUUCGGUGAGCACAACCCACCUCAUUUCGCAUUCCGAUUGCUUGUCGACACUUGCAAUCGGCCUCCCGCAGCACCCGGCACCCGGUUUGGCCCGAUCUCUCGUGCGACCAUCCGAACGGCCUCCAAUUCACGAUCCGAAAAUUAAAGGUCUUCGGUUAUGUGCCACGGUGCUUCAAAUCCGUUUUCAUGGGUUUACGAUGUCGCCUCGGCCCUCCAGGCGGAAACGAAGCCUAAACGUCCGUUUCUUUAAUAACUUUGUAACGGCUCGUCGGAUUGCUGAACCGUCUUCGCCAACGCGUUUCGUUACCUAGCAAUUAGGUUUACAGAGGGUCAAAUGAGAUCAAACCCUCAUAUUUACAAAACUAGCAUUUUGAACCCUAGGUUUUCUACUAGGUAAAAACCCACCAUUAGGGCCUUGGUUUCAAGCAUCAAUCCUCUAAUUAGUAUGCUAGAAUACCUCUAAACCCAUUCUUAGAGUUUAAAAACCAAACUAGAGAGAAAUGCCAUUAAAGGGUUUGAAGCUUACCUUCAAAGCUUGCUCUCUAAUGGCCAAUGAGGAAGAUGAAGAAGAUGACUUUCCUCCAAGCUUCCUUCUCCACCAAAACCCUCUCUUUUGGGAGAGAAUUAGAGAGAGAAAAUGGAGGUUUCUCUCUCUCCAUCUACAUGCGUGUGUGUGUGUGUGUGUGUGUGUGUCUCGUGUGUGUGUGUGUGUUGCAUUCGGCUGAGGAAGAAGAAAGGGACAAUCCCCUUUUUACAACUUAGUCCCUCAACUAUGCACUAUUCACUUCGGGUAGUUUAAAAUCUGAUAUCUUUUGCCGGAACUCCCUGAAUGUCCGUUUGAGCUCAAACUUGACAGUCAUAUUCAGUUUUACGUACUGAGUAAGAAUAUAUUUUAAGUUUUUAGUUUCGACCCCAUUUGGUCACCGAAAACUGUACCGAACUGUAAUCUUUGUCAGAUAACUCUCGGAUUUUAUUUCUCACUCUACGGGUGUCAGAAAAAUAUGAAGCUUCAAAUCUAGCCUCAUAAAAAUAUUUUUGACUUAUCCUCCAAUUUUCAUAAUUUUCUGAAACUGUGCAUUUUCUGCUAAUUUAUCUGUCCCGUUUUCAACAGAAAAUUCUAAAUCUUCUGUUUCCAAUCCGAUUUCAGCACAAGUCAUUUCUAACUUAUGUUUUACUCCUAUAAAUUCAAUAAAAAUAGUUUCUCACACUAUUUUUAUUUAUUUUUAUUUUUAUACCAAAAUCUGGCAUUGUAUAACCAAUGUCUCCAAAGUGAAGAUUAUUGGGUUGCUCUCAGGUUUGUCUCUGCAGGAAAGUGUACCGGUACAACAUUGAAGUUGUAUCGGAACAAGAGGUUGUACCGGUACAACAUUGGAUUUGUACCGGUACACAGAGCUGUUUCUGCCAACCCGAGCCUCAGGUUCGCGUGUACUGAGGGUUUUGUACCGGUACACUUUUUCAUGUAUCGGUACACAAUACAGAAUGCAGUCCGCUUUUUUUUUUUUCAGGGAUUUUUUUGGAAUUGUAGCCUAUCUAUAUAACACCCCAUGCCCCAUAGAGGCUUUCCUGUGCUGAGAACAGAGGAGAACCAGGUAGAGGACCCAUCCACUUCCUCUCUUUGAUUUUCUUCCCCUUUUCUUGGAUUUUUAGAGGAAUAAUCACCUCUCUUUUGCUUCUUUUGGUAUUUUGAUGACCUACUCACCAUUGGAGAAGCUUUGGAAGGAAGAUUGGAGCUUGCUUGAGGAUUGAUCUUCAACCCUAGUUGGUUUUGGGCCUUGUUUGAGACUUCUUAAGAGGUUAGUAACAUGAUUCUUGCUUUAGAUUCAUAUUUUGAUGGUUUUUGCUAGAUGAAAUCCUAGAAAUGGAAAUUUAGGAUUUAAAUUAGGGAUUUUUGAUUUAGGGCUUUUGGAGCUCAAUUGUUUGGAUUAGAACCUCCAUCUAGGUUGGAUUGGAAGGGUUCUAACUCUCAUUUGGAGAUUGAGAGAGUUUUUCACCAUUCAAGGUGAGUUUUUGCCCUAUUCUUUAGGUUGGAUAAUGUUUAACCUAUGUGUUGUUCGUAACAUUCGUGUAACUCUCAUAGUUUCACCUUUAGGGAGCUAGGAGGCUUGUGGGCACCUUCGUCGGCUCAAACGAUUGUGCGGAGACUUGGUGGGCUUGGCCUCACCAAAAUGAGAUAAAUUUCUCAUUUGAUGGUUAUACUUGUCGUAAAAUAAAACUUUAUGCAUAUUCAUGUUAGAUAGAAUAUUUAUAGAUUUUAGAAUGCUUAAAAUGCACUUGUCACGUAUAAUGCAAAUUUGGACCUGUAUAUAGUAGAGAGUUAUUCAUAUUAGAAUCAUACAUUUGGAUAGCAUUCUUAUGUGCGGUUUGGGAUCACAUUUCAAGGAGUGGAAAUGAUAAGUAUAAUAUGCUAUUGAAUUUAGAACCCGUGUUGACCUAAGGAAAAACAUAAUGCCAUAAAGGGGCAUUAGAUGUAUAUGAUGUAUGAUAUAGCAAGCUAAUGUCAUAAAAAGGCAUUGGGCUUGGCAUAUGUAUGGACUUAGUAAACCUAAUGUCAUGAAGGGGCAAUAGGUGCAGUAAAUGGUUGAACCUUUACUUUGGGACAUUAAACUAGAAUUUUAGAUUGCUAGUGACUAUUUUCAUAUUAGAGACAUGAUGACUGGGUUCUUGAGACGAUAACUAUACUUGCUUGCCAUUUGUGCUCAUUCGCACAUGCUUGUGAGGGUCUCUCCUUACAAGCCGGCACUCUGGAGUUAGCGUUUGCAACAGCAGUUCGCUCGUGCGGGAUUGAGAUGCCUGUAGGGCCGCGUGGGACAGACUCAUUCUUAGUAUGAGAUGACGGGCUACCACAGGCAGCUAGGCGGCACAAGCUGGACUACACUCGUGUAGGUCCUUAAACGAGAUUGGACAUUAAUAUUAAAUCAUGAUAUGACAAUCACUACUAGACAGUUUAUAGUCGAUGGAUUCCUCAAUUGGGCUUAUGGCAUAGUAUUGGACAUAUGGACAUGUAGUAUACUUGAUAGAUUUGCCUAGUGUAUUAUAGUAUACUUGUUUGACAUAUUGGAGCAUGCUAAUUAUGUAUUGGACAUAUUUGACCAUGAUAGAAUAGAUGUACACCAUGUUGACAUCAUGUUAUGUUGUGGCACAGUAGUUUAGCAUUUCAAUACAUGCUUUCAUAUCUGCAGUGUAUUAGUAGUUUCAUUUAUCUACUCAUACUUUUGGGCCUAGUGGUGCAUUUUGCUCAGGUCAGUAAUUACCCACUGGGAAUUAUAAAUUAUAGUUCUCACACCCCCUAUUUUAUAUUUUCUUUCAGAGCCUUCCACUCCGGGAGAGGCUCGGAAUCGCGGGAAAGAAAUCGCCUCGAGCUAGCUAGCGAGGAAUUUGUCGAUAGAUGGUCUACCUCUCUUUUGGUUUUUUUUUGGAGAGAUUGAGAGAUUUGUACCAUUUUGUAGAGGCCACUCUGCUAUGUAACUGAGCUUUGUAUAGAUUUUGUGAUGUGUUCCUUACUCUUACCUUAGUGGUUUAGUUCCCUUUGAUUCUACUUGUUGUUAGAUUCUAGCUGUUCACAUGCUCUGAUAUCUCUAGAUAUUUAUAAUCUUUUCUUUAUUCAUUGCUUUUGUUGUAGACUCCUUAUAUGUGCAGGCAUAUGGCGGGUCUGGGCACGCGCCGGGCGAGUAUCCGCCGGGUCCUGGGGCGUGACAGAUUAAUUUAGUAUCAGAGCCCCUAGGGUUGAGUUUUAGUGGACCUAGCAAACCUUAGGCCCGUUGGACUAUAGGAAAUAGGCUCGUGAGAAACGAGGUCUAUUUGACUUGAGAGCGAAAGUAUUAUGAUUGGAUAUUUUUAUAAUUCUAAAAAGUUAGAAUUUGAUCAGAGUAUAUAGCUUCUAACUUCGCGGAGGGUUACGUUGGCGGCCGACAACAUAACAUCGGGAGUUAGUAGUAAAGAACACUUCCUUACUUUCAUAUGAUUUGGGUGUUGUUCGUUGAGUGGGGUUGCGAUAGCGUGGAUUUUACUAACUUGCGCUUUUAUGAUGUUGUAGUGAUAAUGUCGACUACACGCUGUAAAUUUGUUGGAGCGGACAACGCGGCGACCUUUGAGGAGGAGAAGGUCUCCGCUACCGCCGGAUCCGGCGGGGUCCGUGAGUUGAGGAGCCAGCUUGCGGCCCUCACCGACUUGGUUGCCCAGCAGGCGGCGGCAGCUCAGCAGCAGGCAAACGCGAUGCGCCGGCAGCGGAUGAAGCGCCUGGAGGACCUUUUACUGCAGUAGGCGGUUGCUAGGGAGACUCAGAUUCCUGCACCACCCGCGUCGGUAGAGGUGGUUGCGCCCAGGGUGUCAUCCCCUACACUCGACACUUCUCGGAUGGCACCUGCGGUUGCACCUCGAGAGGAGGAUGUUGCGGCACCACCAGCCCGGGUGCCCUUGGCGGGGGCAGUUUUCUCCGGGAUAGUUGAGGGAGCAGAGUGAGAUCGGCUCAUGGAUCGCCUCAACGAAUUCAGGAGGUGCAAUCCCCGGAUUUUCGUUGGAGAGAAGGUCGACCACUGGAUCGUAGAGAAGUGGUUGAUGCAUAUGGAGAAGUUGUUUCGAGAGAGAUAGAGUUUGGCUCGCCACACACCACUUGGACGGCGAGGCCUAUAGUUGGUGGUUGGAUAUUCAGGACAACCCCAACACCGACCUUUCAGCGAUUAAUUGAAAGCGGUUCAAGGAGCUUCUUCUAGAGCACUACUUCCCCGUUAUUGUCAAGAGGAAGAUGGAGCAAGACUUGCGCAGUUUGCUCCAGGGGGAUCAGACCGUGGCCGAGUACGAGAGGGAGUUCUGUCGCGUUCUACACUAUGUGCCCUUUGUGGUGCGGGACGAUGAGGAUAAGACCCGCAUCUUCGAGCGAGGACUUCGGCUAUCGAUCUUUCGGUUGGUGCAAUCUUCCAACCUCUAGACCUACCGUGACGUGGUGAACCGCGCGCUCACUACAAGAAGUUCAAGUUUUAGCAACAUUUAACUAGCAAUAUUUUAGUAAGUGACAUUGAUUACAAAAUUUAGAAACAUUUUUUUAUUCAUGUUGCUAAAUGUAUUUUUUUGCCAACAUUUAAACACAAAUGUUGCUAAAUACAAAUAAUAUCAACACUUAUUAUUAAAUGUUGCAAUGUUUAGUAACAUUUUGAUGAUAAAUGAUAAUGAAAUUUUUAAAUUUUGAAAAGCCCGCCUAAUUUUGAAAAUUUUAAUCUUUUCCCUCCUUUUUAGUAAUUCUUUCUUUUAUCUCUCUCUUCCUUUUCUUUGUUUCUUCACCCUAAGAGACUUUCUCCUCUCAUAGCUUAUUCUUCUAGUUCUUAAGAUCUACAAAAUUUUUUCAAAUUGGGAGAUUGGAGAAAGUAUAUUAAUUCAAAAUAUCAAGUUUGGUUUUAAAGACGGAGCAAGUAUAAAGGUAAAACAAUUUCAUACUUAUUUCCAAUCAAAAUCAUAGAUUUGAGAUUUUUUUUUCUCUUUCUUUUUCUUAUCUAAUAGAGUUUAGUAUGGCUAGAAUAAGAUUACUCUUCGACCUUAAUUUUGAUUCAUCAUUCCAUUAAUUUAUCGCAUUACAUGAUAUGAUUUGAGCUUUUUGUUUCUUACUUUUUCAUCAAUUUUUUUUUACAUUUACUUUUAGAUCUUAAUGUUGUGGUUAUUACAUUGAUAUUAUUUUAAUUUAAAACCUUUUAUUUAUUUCUUUUAGAAUAUAUAGUUAGUUUUGAAGAUGUUAGAGCAAGUAUGGUGGUCUCAUAUGAUUUGGUAAGGACAAUAUAUUUUCUCUUUUAGUAGUUUAUAGUAUCAUAUAUCAUAUGAUCGAUUGUAUAAAAAUUUAAUUUUAACUUUGUUUUUUUUAUAGGAUAAGCAAAUGGAGGUUACAAGAUUGUUCCCUUCAAGCAUUUUGGAGACUUUCACGACCAAUAUGGAGCGAUUCCCUUCAAGCAUUUUGGAGACUUUCACGACCAAUAUGGAGCGAUUAAUUUUUUAUUUUGUCAUAACUAUGUUUGUUAUGAGAAAACUCAAUUACCUUUGUAUUCAAAUGUAUUAUUCAAUUUGUAAUAUAUUAUAGGCUUUGAUUGUUUUAUGCUAUAUAUAUGAAAUUUUUAAUAUUUACGGUUGUUGUCUAUUUUGACUAUCAAUUGGAUAAGUGAGUAGUAUAGAAUUAGUAAUAAAUUAUUAUUGUAAUUAUAAUUAAUUUUAUUAUUAAUUAAUAUAAAUAUAUUCUAUUAUUCUCAAUUAAGCAUAAAUUCUUGAUAUUUAAUUAAUGUUAAUUUAAUGAACAAUUUUACCAAUAAUUUAAAAUAUCAUUAUAUGUGAUUGUUUAGUAACAUUUGAUUAUUAUUGGCUAUGAUUAUACUAAUUAAUUAAAAAUUAAUAAUAAUUUAAUAUAAAUAGUAUCAAAAAGCUAUAAUUAAAGCAAUUAUUAAUGAAAUAUUUUAUUUAAUUUAAAAAAUAAUAACUAUAUUAAUAUAAGAAAUAAUUAAAUAAUAUGUACCAUCAUUUAGCAAAUAUUUUUUUAAUUUUUCAGAUAGCAACAUUUGUCAAAUGUUGCUAAUUCCUCAGCAUCAGCAAUACUUUCCAUAUAUGUUGCUAAAAGAUUCAACAACACGGGCAUAGGCAACACUAAAGUUUAAGUGUUGCUAAAAGAUUUAGUUUCAUUUCUUGUUUGUUUAGUAACAUUUAUAAAUGCCACUAAAUUUAAAUUUUCUUGUAGUGGCUCAUCGUGGAGAGCGGUGCCGCGGAUUUGCAGAAGUGUUCAGAGGGCUUGGAUAAGGGUAAGGGCAAAAGAACUGCGGCUGAGGGUGCGAGUCAGGCGCACUCAGGGAGGCCGCCGAGACACCCCAGGAGCCGGAGCAAGUCGUGAGGACGUGACUCAUCUGCAUAGCAUAGAGGAUAUGAUCGUCGCCGGGCUCCACACUACCACUACAAGAAAAAGCCUUUUUAGUGACCAAUUUUAGAUGACCAUUUUUUAAGUGGUUACUAAAAAUGCAAAAAAAUAUAAAUCAACUUUCAGAUGGGCUAAAAGAGCCAAAUUUUUACCGACCAAACGUUAUUUGGUCGCCUUAAUUUUGAUUUGGCCCGUCGCAAAAAGCCCAAAGGCGCGAUGCUACAGGAAAGGCGCUACAUUUUUCAUUUCGCGCUACUUUUUUUCACCUACCCCUUCUCUUUCUCCAGAGGGUUUUUCUCAACCUCUCCAUCUUCUCCCUCCCCUCUACCACCACUCUCUCAACCUGGCCAUCUUUUCCCUCCCCUCUCCCACCACUCCCUCUUUCCUCACCCUACAAUCCGAAGCAACUCAUCAACAUCAGACCCCAGUGUGCUGUAUUUGGGCCUGAAACUAAGCAACGUGUUGCAUUAGGUCUUCGAUUCGAGCGAUUAAAGCUUAACCUUUGGCGGAGCUUGUGGUUGGCGGAGCUUGUGGUUCAACGCUUCUUCUCGACCUCGAGUUACUAUCAGGUAGAUAACUUCUAGGUUUUUUUUCUUCUUUUUUAUGAUCUUAGUGAAAACCCAACUUGUUAGGGUUAGUGAAAAAUUAAACUUCAAUACUCUAGAUUUACGACGUUUUUUUUUUCCCCCCCCUCUCUUAUCUCUGUUAGUUUUUUUGUUUGGUUGGUGGAGGGUUUAGGGUUUAGUUGGUAGGGUUAUGUUCCAUUAACAUUCUUGCUCCAAGUUAAGUAUCAAUUAGUAAAGGNAAAAAUUUAAAAUUUAAAAUUGAGUGCACUUCAAAAUAUAAAACUAAUUUUUGAAUUGUUUCAAAUUCAAACUUAGAAUUAAAUUUAAAUUUAAAUUUAUAGAUCAAAUUCAAAAUACUUGAUUGAAUUUAUAAUUUAAUUUAAUUUAAUUUGUAAAUAAAAAUCUAGAAUUAAAAUUUUAAUUUCUAAUUUUAAAUUUAUCUUUUAAUAAAAAUUAAAAUAAAAAAAAUUAAUUUAAUUUUAAGUAAAAAAUAUAAAAUAUUAUUGAGAUAUUCUCAUAAAGUAUAUUCUUUUUACUGGAUUUAACUUUUAAUCCGGCCCGCUAGGCCGGAUUGGAAAAAUUGGUGAAUGGGAGAUUCCUAUUCACCCAAAAAUCGGAAUAGGACUCCCGCAUAUCAAACAUUCCGUAAAUGGAUUCAUCUAUUUCGAUUCUGAUUUCUGGGUGAAAGAAGGGCGAACCAAACAUGCCCCAAAAUAGCCCUAGCAUAGAAGAUCAAAUUUACCAUAUUUUGCGCAAUUUAGUUUGUAAGAUUUCUUUUGUAAACAUUACCAUAAUAUAUAUUGUAAAAUUUAUAAUGUGCUGCACGUUUUGAUCCUCUCAAACUAUGGAACAUGUGAUAUUUUAGUUCUCAAACUUUAAUUUUUUGCAAUUUCUGGCUCAAACUUUUCGAUUUAUUGUUAUCAAGUCCCACAUCUAAUAUAGUUGUCUAAUUUUAAUAUGGAGAGUGGGCUGACAAGGCUAGGGCUGGCAAACGAGCGAGCUGGCUCGCGUUCGACUCGUGUUCGGCUCGAUAUUCGGCUCGCUCAAGCUCGACUCGAAAUUAAAUGAGCCGAGCUUGAACAAAAUAAAAGGCUCGAAAUUCAUUUCAAGCCGAGCUUGAGUAUUACUCGGCUCGUUCGAAUUAGGCUCGAAAAGCUCGAAAAGCUCGAAUAUAUAUAUAUAUAUAAUAUAUAUAUAAUUAUAGUAUAUAAUAUAAUGUAUUUUAAUUAUAUAUAAGUUUUAAUUUUAACCUUUGGAGCCAUUAUUGUGGCCCCCAUAAAAUAAACGCCCAACAAUUACAACCUGGCAAUUGUAACCAACUCUAAAUUUACAUAACAACUCCUCCUCUUUCAAGACCUUUCAGCCUGUUUGGCACAUACCCUAAAACAUGACAACAUUCCAAUCAAAAAUCCUAAUUUUCCCUCUCAACCCUCUCUCCUCCCUCUCCGUCUUCUCUCUCCUCUCCUCCCCACAGUCCACGCCUAGCUCAAAGCAUCCUUCCUUAUAAUUACAUUUGUACUUUUGAACUAAUUGAACAUGUUUGCAUCAAAUUAUAGGUAUUCUAUAAAAUUAAAACCUAUUGAUUAUAUAAUGUCGAGAAUUUUCAAUAUCCCGGUCGUUUAGAGCUCCGAGCGCUCCGGGUCAAACUCGAAAUUCAGGCUUGCUCCCCGAGCUCGCUCCAAUUAAUUUCAAGCCCGAGCUUGAGCUAGAUUUAGGCUCGAAAUUAAAUUUAAGCCGAAUUUGAGCUACAUAAGCCCCCCGCUCCGAGGCUCCCGGCUCGUUUCCACCCCUAAGAUAAGCCCGGCUUUGCCCCAGACCAAGCCAGGCUUGCACCGUGUGUCGUAGGCUAGCUGGCCCAGCAGCCCGGCCCCGAGGGCCUAGCCGCACGCUUGUGGGGGUUGCUGGGAACUGGCCCUGGCCUCGAACCUAAUGCGUGGCCGUUUGGAGCUACAUAAAUUAAUCCAGCUUGUUGAUUAUCUUACUAAUUUCUAUUUUUCUAUUACAUUACAAUUAUACUGGUAAGUGACAUCUACUUACAUGUCUUGUUUGUGGCAUAUUCUGGGCUUAUUGGAAUUUUUGUAACAAUAUAUGAUUAAAGCACUCCAUGUUACUUGCAGGGACGGAGCUAUUGACGUGGAGAGCCCCAACAACAAAGCCCUACCUGAACAUUUUUUAAUAUAAAGUCUUUAAAAAAUAAUAUAACAAGAGAGGAGAGGUACAUAAUUUUUUAAUAAAAUUUGGUGUCAAAUUUUCCUAAUUUCUUGGUGCUCCCUUCAAUCUUACCGUACUUGUUUUUUUGAGCAUCUUAAAAUUUUCAUACUACCCGAACAACACAACAAAAUCUAAAUUUUGACACACACACACCACGAAAAAUUCUGCGUUCGUCUUGAACAUAUAUCAUUUAUUUGCCAUCUUAUUAAUAAAAAACUUAUUUACAAAAAUGGUCCGGCAUAAGCAUUCCCAAUAUACACACAACAACAUAAGGCAUACAAUAUAAAUUAUUUGAGGGCCUGUAAAAGAAAGUGUAAAUAUUGCUGACCAAUUUUUUUUUCUAAAAAUACACUUUGUUAUGAGUAUAAAGUAAAAUAUUUCUAGUGAAUUGUGAUAUCAAUAAUUUGAUUUUCUGUAUGGAAUUGGCAUAAAAGUUUCAUGUCGGUGUAGCUCCUGAUAGAAUCUCCCAAAGGUAUGUAAAAAUAAAUAGAGAAAUAUAAAUAAUACCAAAAUCUAGGAUCAAAAAAAAAAAAAAAAUACGAUAACUCCACAGAGCGUCAUAAGAGAAGAGAUUUCUUAUUAAUCUACGCGGAAGCUGGAAGUCGCGCUACGAUCUGAAAGCAGAACCCCGAACUUGGGUGAUUGUCUCCUCUAGUCUCAGGCACCUCUGCCGUAAUGGUGUCGCCGAACCGAUGGUGAAUCUUCACCAGAAUGCGUAUGAGAAGGUGGCAAACCCCAUAACCCCUUUAUAUAAGUCCAGAUCGACUUCCCAUCAAAGUCUGAUUAGGAUUCUAUUUAAACUUUGAAAUAGAUGGAUAGGAAUACAAAAUUAUGUCAUAAUCCACGUGGUUCUAUAUCUUGCUUAGGAUUGAUCUUUAAUCUAUAGUAAUAUCCAGAUUCCUGAAUAUAAUAAUUGGGCCACCAAUAUAUGGAAAUCCUAACAAUCUGCCCACCCUUGGCUCCAUAUUAUUAUAUUCUAUGAACGGAUUUUUCUAUGGCUCCAACACUUAUUACGGCAUUUAUUCGGAAAGCUUUAUUGGUCAAAAUACCUUAGAACUCCACUUGAUCUUAGGCUCAAAACUAAAAACUACAUACGAUAGGAACUAUGGGCGGUCCACCUCAACAAACGAAAUUUUCCUCCAUAAUUACCGUACACAUCUUCACCCCCUAGCCGAGUACUUUAUAUGGCACAACUUUAUGAAAUGACUUAAAACUGUAGUAUUCGUUAAUAGGCCGAAGCUUAUGGCGCUAUUAAUGUCCAAUACAGCACUGGGCAUUAAACUUUAUUGAAAAAAGAUAUAUAGAGCCUUACAAUUUUAUGACAAUCCAAAAGAACUAAUCACGAACCCCAUCCAUUUUUAACACCACAUCUUGUAUAUGACCCAGGUGCCGCACCUUGGUCAUUGGGUUUUGCAAUCAAUAACUUCGGUAGCUGAAAUAUUCAAUGUAACAUAACCUUCAUCAUAUCUUCCUCUCUCAAUAACAAGGAAUAUUUGGUGUCCAAGGUGUUUAUCACCCCUACUAAAUCUUGUUGUUAUUGCAAAGGAAAAUCGGGCAGCUGAAACUAUCACAGAAAAAAUCUUUUAUUGGAUAGCACACUGAAAGUCCACCAAUUCUUAAGUCUGUGAUAAAAUUCCCUAAGCCAAAAAACCCUUGUGUGGUAUCGUAACAUGGGCAAUAUAAUCCAAAUUCACCUUUUAAAUACCUCAUAAACCUUUUAGCGGCCUUUCCCCAAUGCUCCAUACCUGGAAUUAUACUUUGAUACCCUGGCGCAAGUAAUUCCAAUACAAAAGCAAUGAUCCCGGAACGUGUGCACGUCCUGUCCAUGCACAUAAGACUACCAAGCUGCAGAGGCAUAGGUUAUGCUUUCAUCUGUCAAUUUUUAAUUGGUUCUUGGACCACUGAAAAGAAUGUAAAGCUUAUCCCCUUCUGGACAGGAGCAAUACUUCAGGCUUAAUAUGGCAAUAGCCCAAGAUCAUUACGGCCAAGGCAAAAUAUCAUCCAACAUAAAGGACUAAGAAAAUUAUUUUAACUCCCAACUAAUCUUUAGAUAAAUAACAUUGAUCCAAUCAAUAUUUUCCCUUAAAAUCAAAGGUCAAAAUAGUUUGUUUAAAAUUUUAAAUACCAUACCUGUCGGGAGGCUGUUUUAGUCCCAUAUAUUGAUUUCUUUAAUUUGCAUGCCAAAUGCUCCUUCCUUUUUGCGAGAAUCCCUUAAAGGUUGAUUCAUAUACACCUCUUAUAGAGAUCCCCAUUUAAAAAAGCAGUUUUGACAUCCAUCUGGUGUAGCUCGAGAUCAAAAUGAGCAACCAGAGCCAUAAUAAUACGGAAAGAUUCCUUUCUAGAUACUGGAGAGAAAGUCUCUUUAUAGUCAAUACCUUCUUUCUGAGUGAACCCUUUUGCCACAAGUCGGGCCUUAUAUCUCUCUAUGUUACCUUUGGAGUCCCAUUUGAUUUUAUAAACCCACUUGCAUCUUACGGGUUUAACUCCUAUAGGUAACUCAAUAAGAUCCCAUACCUUAUUGUGGUUCAUGGAUUCAAUCUCAUCCUUUAUGGCAUUGUACCAUUCCGUAUAAUUAUUACUAUUUAUGGCUUUGGAAAAACUAAGAGGAUCAUCUAAACUCUGGCCAUUCUCAUAAAGAUAAACGAUAUAAUCAUUGGAUAUAGCCGGUCUUCUCUGUCUUGAGGAUCUUCUUAAAUAUAUCUGAUUAUCCACUUGUACAUCUUGAUGUGAAUUAUCAAUGAUAGGUUCACAAUCACUUUGUGGUCCCAAAACGACUUGUUGUUCUACUGAAAUAGGAACCCUCAAAUCGUGAGAGAUAAUAGUGGGUCUGUCAUGUACAGAAUCCGAAUGCUCUUGAAUUUCCUCAAAUUUAAUGAAUCGAGGUUCAGAGCUCCCACUAAUUGCACUAUCCUCAAUAAACCGAGCUGUUUUAGUUUCUGCAAUCUUUAUAGGAAGUGAUGGACAGUAAAACUUAUACCCUUUGGACCUUUCUGAAUAACCAAUAAAAUAUCCUGAUAUGGUUCGAGGAUCCAGUUUCUUUAUUUGUGGAUCAUACAAUUUGGCCUCAGCUUGACAACCCCAUGUAUGAAAAUGUCUUAAACUGGGUUUCCUACCUGUCCAAAGCUCAAAAGGAGUCUUAGUGACAGCCUUAGUAGGAACCCGAUUAAGAAUAUAUAGGGCAGUUUUGAGUGCCUCACUCCACAAUGAUAUAGGAAGGGUAGAAUUACUGAUCAUACUCCUGAGCAUAUCAAUUAAUGUGCGGUUUCUUCUUUCAGCAACACCAUUCUGAUCAGGUGUCCCUGGCAUGGUGUACUGUGGAACAAUUCCGCACUGCUCCAGAAACUUAGCAAAAGGCCCAGGGAUUUGGCCUUUAUCUGUUUGUCUACCAAAAUAUUCACCACCCCUAUCUGAUCUGACUACUUUUAUCCUUUUCUCGAGUUGAUUCUCUACUUCAGCCUUAUAUGCCUUAAAGGCAUCUAAUGCUUCAGAUUUUUCUUUAAGUAAGUAGAGAUAGCCAUAUCGAGAGUAGUCAUCAGUAAAUGUGAUAAAAUAUUUAUGGCCAGUAAUUGAAAUAGGAAGAGGUCCGCAUAUAUCGGUAUGAAUCAACUCUAAUGUUCCAUCACAUCUUUUAGCACCUUUAGAGGAAGUUUUGGUCUGCUUUCCCUUUAUGCAGUCCACACAUAUUCCAAAGUCAGAGAAGUCCAAAUCAUCUAAAAUGCCUUCUCUAAUUAACCUUUGGAUUCUCUGUUUCGAGAUGUGUCCUAACCUCUUAUGCCAUAACAUGGAUGACCUUUCAUUAUUAAUGCCACGUUUUGAUCCAACAUUUCCGUGCAUGGUAAGAAGGAUUUCACUAAAUGAAUCAUCUAAAAAUACUUUAUAUAGAUUAUUUUCCAAAACACCAGAGCCAACUAUCUGAGAUUUAUAAGAUAAAGAAAAAACUUUAUUAUUAAAACUGAAACUAUAUCCCAAUCCAACAAGUUUCGAAAUAGAAAUUAAAUUCUUAGAAAAAUUUGGAACAUAAAAUGUAUCAACUAAAUCCAAAAUGUGACCAGUAGAAAGAACUAAUCUAAAUGUUCCUACAAAUUCUACUUUAGUUGGAUUUCCUUCAGCUGUAUAGAUAGUCGCUUCAUCUUUACUGGGUUUUCUCCGAUUCUGAAAUCCCUGCACGGAAUUCGCCACGUGGCAUGUGGCACCAGAGUCAAUCCACCAAGUAUUAGACGGAACUGAAACUAAAUGCAACUCAUGCAUCAAAACCAGAAAUUUACCUUUCUUCUGGAGCCAUUUCUGAUAUUUUUGGCAGUCCUUCUUUAUAUGACCCUUUUUCUUACAAAAGAAGCACUUGGGAGUCCAAUUACUUGAUUGGCCUUGUGAACCAGAUGGAACUUCCUUAUUCUUUCUUUUUGAGUCAUUCUUGCCCUUGCCAUUCUUAGCACGCUUUAUUUGUCUCUUCUGAGAAACAAAGUUGACUGCAUUUUGUUUCUCUUGUAUUAAUCUGCCUUCCUCUUGCACACACAUGGUCAGCAAUUCAUUAAUUGACCAUUUAUCUUUAUGUGUGUUAUAAGAGAUCUGAAAUGGUCCGUAUUCAGAUGGUAAAGAGUUCAAAAUAAAAUACACUAAGAAUGAAUCAGAGAUGGUUACUUCAAGUGCGGUGAGUUGCGCUGCAAUAUCUCGCAUUUCCAUAAUAUGCUCGCGAAUCGAGCCAUUUCCGGAGUACUUCAUGGAAGACAGUUUAUUUAUUAAGGUGCUGACAAAUUGCUCCUCAAUAGCCUUCAGAUAAUCCUUGGCUUUAUCACAUUUUGGGAUUGAUCCCCUUAUGCUUUUGAUACCCUUGACUUUAUGAGCAUCAAACUUAAGCGGUUGGAUCGCUCCCACUUUUCCUGCGCGGAUUCCUGCUGUGGAGUCAUUGGCCCCACUACCUUAGGCGGCUGUUCAGCGCGCAGAGCCAAAUUUAAAUUCAUAUAGCCCAAAAUAAACAUGAUCUGUUCUUUCCACUCCGAAUAAUUAAACCAUUAAGUAUAGGAACAGAUUCACCAAUAGGAACAGAAAAUAGAGUCAUAGCUGAAAAAUAAAAUGCAUAUUUUAUCAAUAAAAUACCACAUUAAAAUUACCACACCAAAAAUAAAAAAAAAAAUACGCUUUAUAUGGCAUCACAACCCCUCCUUUGGGAGCAGAAUUAUGAGCAUAAGUAUUUUUCGUUCUUUAGGCAUAUACUUUAUAUGACAUCAUAACCCCUCCUUUGGGAGCAGAGUUAUGAGCAUAAAUACGCAAUUAUUCCUUAUGCAUAUACUUUAUAUGACAUCACAACCCCUCCUUUGGAAGCAGAGUUAUGAGCAUAAAUAUGCAAUCUCUUUAUCAGAGAUUAAUUUAAACUUUCAGUAGGUCUUAGUAAUUUCAAAUUUUUCAUAUAGAAAAAUUGUCAGCUUUGGCCAGGCAAAUUCCUCCAAACGAAUUAUAAGAAAAUUACAAUCCUGCACCACCCAUGUACCUUCAUAUCUAGACCUUCUUUGGGAGCAGACUAAACAUAAUAUUAGGGUGCAAUUUCGCAUGCACUUCUUUAAAGCAAUUAAUUUAUCUUUUCUCCCGGUCGGGGCCGCUUUGGCUUGCACCCGAACAGUUGAAGCAAUAAAUUAAUCUAACUUAGUGCUGCAUGAUUAACAUGAAAAUUAUCCGGAAACGCUACUUUAAAGUAAAUUAAAUCAUUAUCUCUUUUAAUUAGGGUCACUUUGGCUUGCACCUAAUUAAUCGAAAUAAUAAAUUAAUUGAACUUAGCGCCAAAUAUUAAAUAAUUGAAAACAAAUAUGAUUAUUUAAUUUUCAUGUUCAUCCGAUCAAAUAAGAAUAUAGAUACGAUAAUUUAAAGCAUAAUUACGCAAUCAAAUUUAAACUUUAUAUAUUCUUAUUUGACCACAAAACAUAAUUAACUUUAUAAUAAGUCAACAUUGUAAACAAAAAUUCACGUGAACAAAACUUUAUACUCACAGCAUCACGGGUCAAAAAUUACUUAAUGAUGAAUAACAAAUAACAAAUUUGCAAAAAUAUUAAAAGAACAACUAUGACCAGUAAUUUGCAAAUUGGUUCAUUAAUAAGUUCUCUGCGCAAACAACGGGAUACCAGGGAUGCUAACCGAAGUUGGAAACUAAACUAACCAAGGUUAGUACAUAUAACCCCAAUAAAUAAGCUACUGUUCAUCUUUAUCCCCAAAUUAAAUAAACCUUAGAUCCAUAAAAGAAAAAAAAAUGGUGCUCAACCAAAUAAAGACUUGCCGACCCUAUGGCUUCCUAUCAACGCUAAUCGCACCACCGUGCUAAUCCAGAUCGACGGUCACGAUAAUUGGGAUCAUCGUCACACACGGUGGAGACUCGGGUCGACGUCAAUGCCGCUGAGAUUUGAGUCUCGGUCCAUGUUGCAAUCCGAAUCAUGAUCCAUGCGAUCAUAAAUUAUUUGGCGUUUAGCAAUCUUUAUAAGCCAUGCGAUCGGAACGCCUUGAAUCCGAUAGUAUUAGGGUCGGCGUCCAACCGGGUGAAAGAUGAACAGUAUUUUAAUUUAUUUUAAAAAAUCGACCCAGUAUAAACAACGCUCACGUUAAAAACUUAAUAAUUAACAAUAAAACCUUGCUCUGAUACCAAUUGAUAGAAUCUCAAGGUAUGUAAAAUAAAUAGAAAAUAAAUACAGAUCAAAAUCUAGGAUCAAAAUAAAAAAAAAAUUACAAUAACUCACAGAGCGUCAUAGAGAAGAGAUUCUUGAUUAAUCUUGCGGAAGCUGGAAGUCCGGCUACGAUCUGAAAGUCACGAACCGAACUUGGGUGAUUUGGUUUCUCCCCCUAUCUCAGGCACUCUGCCGUAUGGUAUGGAACCGAUGGUAAUUCUUCACCAGAAUGCGUAUGAGAAGGUGGCAGGACCAAUACCCCUUUAUAUAGAGUCCAGAUCGACUUCCCAUCAAAGUCUGAUUAGGAUUCUAUUUAAACUUUGAAAUAGAUGGGAUAAGGAUAAAAUAUGUCAUAUCAAGUGGUUCUAUAUCUGUUAGGAUUGACCUUUAUCUAUAGUAAAUCCAGAUUUGAAUAUAAUUAAUUGUACCACAAUAUAUGGAAAUCCUAACAGUUCCUUCCCCAAAAAAAUUAAUUAAAUAUGUUCCUUAAAAUCGAUCAGUUCCUAAUUGGUAAGAAAAAUUAAUAGGAUUGAGUAUUUGAUCCUCAUAAUUACGAGCUUAGACAAAUUCUCGAUCCUAUUGUUAGGCAAUGGAAUUUCAAUCCUGUUAAUCUUUGAUUGAGAUUAAUAUUUGUGUCUAAUGUCCAUAUCUGCAUUUGAAUGUUGUGAGAUGGCCUCUAAAAAUGUUCAAGCUGUUUGACUAAGGAGACAUCGAGCACCAAUCACCAAACCCUUUGCCACUUACGCUAGUUCCUAUUAGUUAUGUAUAUUUUAAUUUUUUAAAUUUUAAGUCUUCUAUUUUAAAAUUUUAAAAUUUUAAAUUUAGAUACUAAAUUUAAAUUUUUAAUUUUCAAAUAUCAAAUUUUAAGUUUCAAAAUUAAUAGUUUUAAAUUUAAAAUUUGAAAUUUAAAAUGAAUUUAAAAAUUUAAAAUUUAAAAAUUUAAAAUUAAAAAUACAAAUUUUAGAAUUUAAAAUUUAAAAUUUAAAAAAUUUAAAUUAUAAGUUUAAUUUUUAAAAUUAUAUAUUUCGAAUUUUAAACUUUAAUUUUAAAAUUUCACAUAAGUUUUAACUAUUUUACAGUUUUUAGCGAAUCUUUUUCUCCUUUUUUUUUUUUGAGAGAGAUUUAGUAAAUCUUUUUCUGUUCCUGAUUCACCAUUUGUUACUUGUCUUUGGCUUCAAAGGCCAUACUUGCUGUGCAUCCUGGUUUACUAUAUGGUGCGAUUUGUUUGACGCCGACAAUAUGAUAUAGCUAUUAUAUACUAGACUUCCACCUUAAGUGCGUAGAUCCGACGUAUUGACGAGAGGAUAGAACUAAUGUUGACAAUUCCAUCUAAUCCAACAAAUCUGCUCACUUGAGAUUAAUUCUGAUUUGAAUGUCCGAAUUCAUUUUGAUUUGAGCACACGUCCAGCUUCUGCUCGUGGCCGCCCAUGCUUUUUUUUUUUUUUUAACUUUCCAACCCACUAACCAAUGUUUUGUUUUUAUUUUUUGAAAGAAAGAUAGCAUGCUGUUUGUUUCAUUUAUUAUUUUAAAAAUAAAUUUAACUGAAAAUGUUAAUCAAUUCGGAUUCGAACAUGGAAUCGCGAAUACCAACCAGCAAGCUCUCUGCUAAUUGCGAUAAUUAUAAGGACGGUCAGUCCCACUGACCAACAUCAAUCUCUCAUGUUUAAUUCUCUCUUUCUCUCAUAUUUUUCUCUAACGUCUCCUUUUGCAAGUCACAAAUUGAAAUUCCAGAUUAAAACUUACAAAAUUAAACUAAAACUCCACAUCAAAAGUUCCAAAUUAAAUUUUAUAUUAAAAAAAUUCAAACUUUGAAAUUCAAAUUUUAAAUUUAAAUAUAAUUUCUGAAUUGAAAUUUUAAAUUCAAUCACUGAUUUUGAAAACGAGCCAUAAAUUUACAUUUUAAGUUACAACUCAAAUAUAGAUAUUCUAAUUUAAAUUCGAAUGGAAUUUAUAAGUUUGUUUUGAUCGAACUUGAAACCAAAUUCUAAAUUUGUGACUUCAAACAAUUUUUUUAGACGAAUCUAAAAUUUUAAGAAAUUCAGCUUUAAAAGUGCAAUUUAAAUUUAAAUUAUCAGUUCAAUUUUAGUUUCUAAAAUACUAAAUCAACUUAUUUUGAAUAACUAUUUAUUAAUAAAUUUUAAAAAGUGAAUUCAAUUUCACAUUUAAGAAGUUUCAUUUAAUUGGUAAAUUAUCCUUUAUUAGUGUUGGAAAUAAUAAUCCAAACUUAAUUAAAAUAUAGUUAUAGAUAAGUUUAAAUCUUUUAUUUGAAUAUGGUUAGGAUAUGUACUUAUCCAAAGUAAACGUUGGAUUUAUCAUUUGUUAUUAUUUGAUGGCUAUAUAUAGUUAGGCAUGGGUUAAUUAGAAAAUAAGCCAUAAUAGAUAUGACCGAGGGUGUCGUCCCGGAUAUAAUUAUUUGCUUUCUAUUAAUAAAGUAUUAGUUUAGUUAUCUUCUUCUUCCAAUAUCUCUUCUCUAUAUUAUUUUGUUCUAUUUUAGAUCUUGGGUUAUAUAAUCGGUAUCAGCAUAAAUACCGGUUCCACUAAUUGGUAUCAGAGAAAAUCACGCUUCCCAACAAUUGGUAUCAGAGCCGAAGAAAGCCGGAAAGUAUCAUGCAACUUAUAAACCAGACGACAGUAUAUUUGAAAAGAAUAUAGAUCCAAUAUAUCGAAUAGCUACGUCAAAGUCAAGUGACUCGUAGUUGAUCAACGAAGGUGACGUUCAGGUGAAACCAAAGUGAAGGAAUCGCUUUGAAGAAGUUGGCCUCCGCACAACACACGACAACAGGUAGUUGUGACGCUUGACGAAAAGAGAGCAAGGAGAGCCCGUGAAGAGAUCCAAGAAGACUUGACCAGAUAGUCAGGAGGGCUAGGCAAGCAAGCCGAAGUACAAAAAAUUCGGCGAGAUCUCGAUGAACUAAGGACGUCAUCCAAACACAAAGGUAUAAAUCUGAAACUUAUUUUUCAGAUUUUCAAGUUUUGUCAUGGAUUUAGAUAAUUGGUUUAUUCAAUCUGGCUUACCAAAGUUCUAUGGAACGAACUUUAAACGAUAGAAAAUCAUUAUUCAAUGUUUUUUAGAAUCCUAAGAUUUGUGGGAUGUAGUGGAGAAUAGAAAUUAUGAAAAAGAAUUUGGUAAAGACGAAUUUAAAAAGAGAGACAGAGAAGUUCUAUCAUAUAUUUUUCAAGUAGUGGAUCUAUCGUUGGUUGGAAAAAUUUCAACGAUAAAGACGGCACGAGAAGCAUGGAGAAUGCUAUUGAAAAUUGGAGGAGAAGAUUUGCAAGAAGAGAAUGAAAUUUAAGAAGAAGAAGAAAUUCAACCAAACAGCUAAAAUACAGAAGCCCCAAUUUGGAAAAAAAAAUCUGAUCAAAAUCAUGAAGAAAAUCAGAUUCGUGAAGAAUAUGUUGAUGAUCCAAACAUUGCAACUCAGGCUGACGACAAAUUUCACAAUGAUAAUAUAAUUUCUACUGAUGAAGAAAUUAUGCAGCAAAGCAGGGAGGAAAUUUACCCUUAUUUUGAUGUGAUCGAAGAUGCAAAUCACAAAUUAAAUUUACGAAAGCAAAAAGCACAUGAAAAUUCACACGAGAUCAAUGUACCGAACAAACAUUUGUGUCGAUCAGACUUUCCUCGGCUACCACAAAAUUACAAAAUUCAUAUCAAUCCAAUUUUUGCAAAAUUAUAUGUUUUUCAAGAUAUUUGCAGCAAUCCGCAGAUCUUUAAGGAUGAUGUGAAUAAUCAAGACUACAGAUGGCAAAGAUUUCAACCAUGGCAACAUCAUUGGACAGGCGUCAUGUUGUACAACUCGAACACGACGACAACAACAGCGACAGAAAUUGCAAAAUCAAAGUGCGCGUUUCACGGAGUUCAAGAGCAGCUUGAAGAUGAAGUUUGGAUUAAGGGAGGAUGUUGGAAAUAAUAAUCCAAACUUAAUUAAAAUAUAGUUAUAGAUAAGUUUAAAUCUUUUAUUUGAAUAUGGUUAGGAUAUGUACUUAUCCAAAAUAAAAAUUGGAUUUAUCAUUUGUUAUGAUUUGAUGGCUAUAUAUAGUUAGGCAUGGAUUAAUUAGAAAAUAAGGCAUAAUAGAUAUGGCCGAGGGUGUCGUCCAGGAUGUAAUUAUUUGCUUUCUAUUAGUAAAUUAUUAGUUUAGUAAUCUUCUUCCUCCAAUAUCUUUUCUUCAUAUUAUUUUGUUCUAUUUUAGAUCUUGGGUUAUAUAAUCGGUAUCAGCAUAAAUACCGGUUCCAACAAUUGGUUUCAGAGAAAAUCAUGCUUCCCAACAAUUAGAUAUUCCAAACUGAGUUUUUAUCCUCGAAACACCAAACAUACUGAUUGGAUUAUAUAUUAAUUUGUCCAACCCAACCUUGCAUUAUUCCAGUCCUAUUCGAUUUUUUCCUAUUAUCCUGCUCAAUCCUAUUUGUUGUAUCAGAGACAAAUUAGUAUUUUAACUUUUGUUUUGGGUUCAUUUAACUACUCCUGAAAGCAUUUUAUUGCGAUUUUACGUGUGUGUCCUUGUGGGACUCGGAUGUGUUUUUUUUUUUUUUUUUUUUUUUUUUUUUUUUUUUUUUUUUUUUGGAAUNNNNNNUUUUUGCAAUUUUGAAACCAAAAGAAAAAGAAAAAAAAAGUUUACUAAUAAUUUUGUUUUUUAAAAAACAAAUUUAAUUUAUUUAAUAAAAAAUAUAAAAUAAUUAAAUUUUGAACUUAUAUUAUCAGAUACAUAAAUUUCGAACUUAUAAUAUCAGAUACAUACAACCAUCAAUUAUUUUUCACGUGCAAUGGACUGUCGGUCGGUCUGGGAAGCAAUCUUGAAUUCAUGAUCCACCAUAUUCAUGCAUACUUUCAAAAAUCCGUAUUGCCAGCUAAUAUGAUAGGUACAAAAGGUACGUAAUUGCAUGUACUAUAAGAUCAUUGAGCCUGAUCAGUUACAAUUUGGUCCCCACAUCAUUAGCUUCAAAUUGAGAACUUAAUCGUUCAAUAAUAGCAUUUUAUUUAGGUCCCUAACCUUAACUGUUGAAAAUAAUUUUCAUCAUCUUGUACGUCCUAUAUAUGUUCGCACACCGUCAUGAAUUCCAUCAAUCAUUCAUCUAACUGAAUAGUUUUAAUUUGACGAUUAAAGAAUUGUCAGUUCACAGAUAGUAGAGCUGUGUAAUGUGUGAUAGAAUAAAGAACUCAUAAAUGUAUAUAUAUAUAAUACUUUAAUAUAUAGAUACACUAAGAUUUUGUCGUUGGUUAUAAGUAUAACUGUGUUCAAUUAUCCUGUAUUUUUCGUAAUUGUCUUCUAUAUUUCCUAAAGUUGCCUCAUUCUCUUCUUCAUUAAUAACCAUACACUUUCCUUUAUCUAUUGAAUUGUGUUUGUCUUUCUAAUAAGGCAACUCUUGCUUCUAAGGCCAACACGUACUCUUUUUUCUAAGACAAUUAUUUGAGCAUAUGAGAAAUUUGUCAUAGCUAUAGAUUUGCUAAAGGUUAUUUUAAAUUUAGAUUCUACACACAUUAUAAAUGCUUCUAUAUGACAAUGUUUACACUUACACCUAACAUUCCUAUCUUGAUAUCCUUUACAAUAUAUACAAGGUCUACUAUCAAAGCCGCAUCCUACUUCCCAACUAUGGUUACAAUCUGUAUUCAUUAAACUGAUAUUAACAAAGUUUAAAUGAUCAUGUGACUCAAAUCGGACUAAGUUAUGCUCAUUUGAUAUAUAAGUUGUAAAGUCAUUUUCUUGAUCAUCUGAUGAAGAGUUUCCUUCAGGAAAAAGAACAAUUUAAAAUGCAUAUAGAUGAACUAUUAAAGUUAGAAGCAAUAAAAAGAUCCCAAUCAAAACAUAGAUCUGCCUCGUUCAUGCUAAUGAAAUACUCUGAAGUAGUAAGAGGAAAAAAUAGAAUGGUAAUAAAUUAUAAGCAUUUAAAUGACAACACAAACGAUAGAUGAUUAUAAUAUACAAGAUAAGGCACAAUUAACUAAUACCAUACAAGAUAAAAGAAUAUUUAGUAAGCUUGACUGUAAAUUUGGAUUCGGGCAAAUAAAACUGCACAAGGAAAGUAUAGAAUGAAUAGCCUUUUCAUAUCCAGAAGGGCAUUUUUAAUGGUUAGUAAUGCUUUUCGGAUUAAAAAAUGCACCAGCUGUCUUCCAAAGAAAAAUAGACAUAAUAUUUAGCCGAUAUAAAUAAUUUGACUUAGUAUAGUAUAUAUUGAUGAUAUUCUCGUUUUUAGUAAAGAUCUUAGAGAACACUUAGGACAUUUGUGACACCCCAAUAGUCCCACAUCGGAUGGGAAUGAGAUUGUCAUUGGGUUUAUAAGAGACUUAGACACUUAUAAUAAUAACUGGGCUUAAAUAUUUUGGUCCGGUGUUUGUGGUCAACGAGUUAUUGUUGCUAGUGUCAAAGCCAGUUCACCAGCCGAAAGUGUGAGAUGAUGUAAUAUCUGAUGUAAAAUUCAAAAUUUCCUAAUUUUCUCUAUUAUUAAAUUUUAUUAUUUCCGUCGGUUUCGCUUAGAGUCGGUUCCGCUCGCGUCCGUUCCACGCACGUCCGCGCCCGUUCCGCAUGCGAUCGAAGCUUCCAACGUUCCUCUUGAGCGUUGAUGUGACGUCCUCUUGUAUAUUUAAAUAGAGGUUGCACCUAGUGCUAAUUAACUUAACAAACAGUGAAAAAAAAAAGAAAAAAUAUUUGCCAGUAAUCUUGAAGCUAGAUUAUUUGAAGAUUGAAUUUUAAUUUUAUUUUGUGAUUCUUUUAUCGCCGGGUGUUGAAAGAGUCUUCAUCAACCUCUUCCGCGUUCGUGUCCGUAGGAGGAGGAAUUCCUGUCGUAUCUUGGGGCGGUGUUUCCGGUUAAUCCCGCACGAAGGACGGGAAUACGUCUUAGGGCAGUGCCUAGCACGCUUCUGGAUCAAUUUGUUGAUAUUCUUUUCUACAAUUUGAAUUUAGCGAUCACCUGUAUGUUGAUUUAUUUAUUUUAAUCACAAAUUUAGUUAGAUUUAAAUCACAAUCAGAUUUUCGUUGCGGCAUUUGUUCCAACAAUCUAAGGCGUAAUUUCGAUUUCAUUGUGAUUAAAAUCUAACCGGUGCUAAUCCGUAUUAAUUUAAUUUUAAUUUGAUAUGUAUAUAAUUUGUUUGUUAAUUUGUUUGUACGAUUGGUAUUCAAACAUAAAUUUUUCCGGAAUUAGCAAUUUAACCUGUAAAUGCAUAUUAUUUAAUUUAUUAUUUAAAUUACAAUUUAUUUGGUGGUUAUUUUUAUUUAUUUUAUUUUAUUUUUUUAAAAAAAUACUUUUUCUGUAUCUUCUUAAAAUAAAAAAAAGGAAAAAAAAAGAUAUUGCGUAUAAUUUCUGUUUGAAAUUUUUUUUGUCAUUUAAAGUUAAAUAUUAAUAUUUAAAUUGUAAAUUACAUAUGUUCAUAAUUUAAAUUGCAAACCAUCUUAUAUAUAAUUUCUUGCACUGUACUGCUGUUUAUUAAAAAAAAAUAAAAAAAAUAAAAAAAAUUCCAUGUAAUCUUUGUAUGCGCAUCCUUUAUUAUGUUUUCUCAAUUUGGUUUAUGUUAUGUAUAUCCUCUACGAUUCUUUGUAACAUUAUAGAAGAAAUGCAGUGGUUGUUCUUUCAAAUCCAAAUCACUUGCAGUGUACUGUGUCCUUUUUCAUCGUAUCCUUUUUUCUUUCCGUUCCUUUUUCCUUAUUAGCGAACGAAAGUUGUAAGAAAUGAGGGAACGGUUUAGUCGCUAGGAAAAAGGUAUUUUGUACUGUAUUCUUUUUUGCCACAUUGAAUGUUAAAUGUUAUGAUUUCUGGUAAUUGUGUAAUCCAAAAGAAAGCUGUUUGUAGAUGCUACCUGAGAAUGAAAAGCUUGGCAUUGUUUUGUAUCUUAAAUUUUUCGUCUUUUCUGUAAAUCCUUACAGAAUGGAGUUGGUUUUUCUGAAAUAUAAUUUUUGUGAACUCAUGUAAAGCUAUCGAACACUGCAAAGAAGUAAUUGCAUGAUGAAGCUUUUGCAUGCGUCCGCCGUAGAGGUGCAUGUUGUAACUGAGUGUUUAUAAAGAACGUGUUGAUAGGUGAGCUCCUGUUGGUAUAUUUUCAAAUUGGUGCCUAGCGAUUUUGCUCGCAUUUUGUUGCAUAGAUAUUAUUUAAUUGCAUAUAUUAUUUGCUCGAAAUUACCUAAUUGAAAUCAAAUUUUUUAAAUUGUUUAGAACAUCUAUUUGCUGUUGAAUCAAACUCUAUUCACAUGAUAACUUUCAUAAUUUUAAAUUUUAGUGUAUCUCAGAACUUGUGGGGGGAGCUCUAUUUUGAUAUUAUAAUUGCCAUUAUGAUUUCAUUUUGUUUAUCCUAAUGUUUAGCUUGUAAAUAAAAUUGAUAAAUUCUAAAGUUCACAUUUAUAUUAUAUCGAGAUAGAAAUAUGCUAGAUGGUUAAUUUUCUAUCACAUUAUUUAUUGAAGUUUUGUCAGAUUUGAUCAGAAUUUUGCAGAUUACUUGAUGAAAGGCCUGAAGAGAAUUAUGUUCCUGUUGUCAUCGAGGGGGAUGGGAUUUUGCCUGUAAAGGGCCUUCUUGCAGUGGGAACCCAACCUUUGUGAUAGGAGAUCCCUUGAAGAAGGUUCAAUGUGGUAAAAACAAGCUGCUAGGUUGGCCAAAGAGCACUUUCUACAAAUUUUAUAUAGGAGCUUUAGCUCCAAUCCCAUCUCUAUGGUGAGUAGUGCUCUGUGUAGUGGUUUAGGUUGAGCUGAGAGCUCUUAAUGGGAUCCAAGGCGAUAAUUUUCGCGAGAUGUAACUCUACACGCAUCCCUGGAGGAAACCACCAAUAGAAGAGUAUCCGUAUGUGGCCGCGGCUAUGUGAAUGGGCUAUACAUAGAAACUCUUAUGAAAAAUCAAGGUACUGUGCAUCGCCAUUAACGCAUAGACCCGCGACGAAGAAUUCUGUACUGUGUGUGUGAUAGUUGAAGUCAGGAUCAAAGAAACAUAGUUCAAGACCUGGUUCACUCCGAUUCCUUCUGAUGGAAACUAUUUACACUAAGUGAGGUUAAGUUUCUUAAAGACGCCUUACCUAUUGCAUAGUAUAAACCCCCGGUGAUAUAUUUAUUUAUUAAUUAAUUUUGUUUUCAAGUUUAAUUUUUAUUUUGAGAUUUUGAAUUUUUGUGGGAGAUUGUUGAUGUAAAAUUCAAAAUCCCUGAAUUUUCUCUAUUAUUAAAUUUUAUUAUUUCCGUCGGUUUCGCUCGAGUCGGUUCCGCUCGCGUCCGUUCCGCGCAGCCCACUGCUAGGAUUAUAUGCCAUUGAGAGUGGCGUGGCACUUCCCUGAGGUCCUUAGACCAACAUGGCCGACUCUAGAUUGGGUACUGUGGACUGAUCGUCCGGUUGACACUUGUUGAUGUAUAGUAGUGGUAGUUGCAUUUAUAUACCUUGUUUCCUCACUUUACUUUGCUACUACAUUGCUGUUCAUAGUUACUUUUUGGUUACCAGUGAGUACACUCGCCCUCGUCGGCUUGUGAUACCCACUGGGAGACCGUUUGUUGGUUUCUCACCCCCCCAUUUUAGGUGACGUUGGAGGUGCGAGUCAAGACAAGGCGUGAGGCACGCGCGUAGCGAGAGUAGAGAUCUCGGCUUGGUUAUCGUCAGUUCUAGAUUCAUUCCCCAUUCUAUUUGAAUUAUAGAUUAUUAAUUGUGGUUCAGUUUAUCAUAUUUAACUUGAAUUGGUUUUUAUUUCAUCUUGGUUAUGACUUUGAACAUUGAUUGAGAAUAAUCGUGGUUUUCGUUUGCUUUUAUGAAAAUGGUUUUCUACCUCUCGUGGUAACUGAUUUUUUGAAGGAAAAGGUUUCCGUGUGGAAAACGGUUUUAAAAAAAAAAAUAUUUUUCGCUUUUCAUGAUUCUAGUAUUUCAAAAUGAAUUUCCGGGUAGAAAACGUUUUAAAUAAUAGAUGUGAUUGAUUGAAUGUUAAUCGUGAUGUUGUGAUGCGGUGAAUGUAUAUAUAGUUAAUGAAUGUUUGUGGUUGUAUCUUGUACUUGCACGACAUCGAGCAAAUAUAGGGGAGACUCUGUCUAUGUGAACAGUGGAUUUUCUAUAUUUGAGGCGGAUUUAGCACCUCUGGAGUCAAGGUUUUCAAAACAAAAAAAGGGGCACUUUCGCUUUCUUUUUACUUAAAAAGUGACACCGGGGCAUGACAUAUUAAGGUGGUAUCAGAGCCAAGUUUAUAACCACGGCACCACUCACGGAUUUUUAAAAUAAUAAACUGAACCACUGGUUGGGUGGACCAUAGGAAGACCUAAGGUGUAUAGGCACGAGAGUGCAGGGUUUGGGCUUGAGUCCCGGUGUGUGUUUGUCGAGUCGAUUCGUUCAAUUGACGGUGUUUUCUGUUGAAGAUGCCUCGUGGCAGACCCCUUCAUCCCGAUCGUGGCGCUGGACGUGCUGGUGCGGAGGCAUCUGGCAGCUCGAGAGAGCUAGUCCUUACGGGCGGAGGUAUUGGGGAGCAGGUGGGCACUGAGCCGCUGGGCGACACUCGCACCUAGCAGCUCGAGGCCUAAGUAGCCGAUAUGAGGGGUUAGCCGACGGCCCUCUCAGGGUUGUUUCAGCAGUUCUUACAGCAGUAGGUUGCAAUUGCUGUCGCCCUGGUUCCACCUCCGGCGCAGGACACUCCGGCAACUGUGGAUCCUCCGACGACAUCCGUGUCUACCAUGGCUCUAGUUGUCACUACCACGACCACGACGGCCACCACGACGAUUUUCGCUAGGGGUACUGAAGCCCCUGCAGCGGAGGGCACCCGCAUUAGGGCAAGGUUUGCGGUGUUCCAAAAGAUCGAUCUGCCAAAGUUUGUGGGAAAGAAGGAUGGCGGUUAGGCAGUUGACCGUUGGGUUGCUUACAUGGAGAAGCUGUUCCGCGAUUUGCAUAUCCAGGAACAAGAUAAGGUUCCGUUGGCCGCUUACUGCCUGGAGGACGAGGCACACUUCUGGUGGUUGCACCUCUUCGAGAAGAAGUAUGUUGAGACGUGCCCGCCCUGGAGGGAGUUCCAAGAACUCCUCUACAGUCAGUAUUUCAAGGACGACACUAAGCAAGGCCUGGAGCACUAGCUGGAGCGGCUCAAGCAGGGCAACCGCACUGUGGCGGAGUACGAGCGAGACUUCUCUCGCGUUGCAGGGCUGAUCACUUUUGAGGUCCGCGAUGAGUACCACAAGGCUCGGAUGUUUGCUGGGGGCUGAAGCCCAACAUCCGAAUUUUGAUCACAUCCCACGCUGCGCUGAAGUUCGACGAGUGCCUGGAUCUGGCCCGGAUGAUCCAGAAUGAUAUGGAAGAGGCACGAAUCAAACGUGAUGCAUCCAAGAAGAACAGUGAUAAGAAUUGUCCCCACUCCAAUUCGAGCGGUGGCUUUUUCUCCAGUAAGAGGCCACCAAAACAUCCUCGUUCUCAGUAAUCAGCUUGGAGUGCACUAUUGGACAGCCAGCGACAGGGUGAUCGACCCUAUGUGAUCUGUGGGCAGGCUCAUCUGGUGACUGCUUACCCACAGCGGAGGGACCAUUGUUUCAGGUGUGGUCAGUCGGGCCACAUUUGAGCUGAUUGCCAAAGGAAGGUAGGACCACUCAAAGUGAUGUUUCUUCUCCAGCCGCACCGCGCCAUAACCGUGGAGCCUCGACUGCUGGUGCUUCGUCUGGGCACCCCUCUACCUCACGCUAGAACGAGAGGGCGCGCCAAGCACCUGGUAGGCGUGUCUACAACAUGUCCCACCCUGAGGGCGAGACAAGUGGCGACGUUGUUGCAGGUAUUACUACCUUCUACACCACUCGUGCUAGAACCAUUUUUGAUACUGGAGCAUCUUACUCAUUCAUUUUGCAUUCAUUUGCAUGUGAUCAUAGUUUUUCAUCGAGUCCACUCUCUUUGGCACUCCUGAUUGAGACGCCUAGAAUUAUUCUGGAAGCAAAUAGAUGCAUCAUGUCGUGCCCUAUUGUUUUGGGCGAUCGGGCGUUCCUAGCGAAUUUGGUGCCGAUCUCGAUUAAAGAGUUUUAUGUGGUACUUGGGAUGGACUGGCUCACCAGGCACCACACUUCUAUCGACUACAAGCGGAGGAUUGUGACAUUUGCGGCGCCCGGGGAAGAGGAGUUCGUCUACCAAGCAUGUAAGAGCUCUUUCUUCGCCAUGACUAUCUCUUCAGCUAGGGCAAAAAAGCUUAUGAAUGGUGGAUGCGUGGCCUAUCUAGCUUCCGUGGAUGCUAUCCGCCGAGCGGCACCUGCAUUGGAGGAGAUUCCGGUGGCUCAGGAGUUCCCUGACAUAUUUCCAGCAGAGCUACCGGGAAUGCCUCCAGACAAGGUGUCACGCCCCGGGACCCAGCGGGAGCCCGCCCGGCGCGUGCCCAGACCCGCCAUAUGUCUACAACAUAUAAGGCGUCUAAAAACAACAAUAAUAAUGGCAAUAAUAAAAGGCAUCUAGAAGUACCAGAGCAUAAUAAAUGUCUAAAUGCUACAACAAGGGAUAAGGAUAAAACAGUAAAUCCAUUAAAUAAAACUUAGNUCUGAUUUUGGAAUUUUGGGUGCCAAGUCCUACUCCAACAUCCUCGGGAUGCGUGCCAAGGGUCGGGACACUAUCAACGACCCUCCAAAAACUGUGGAAAGGCUCCACACACAGAUCAAACACUCGAAUCUUGCAAUUUGCUAAGAUCCAGUGCAUUACACAAGGAGAUCGAGUUCUUUAUUGAGUUGGUCCCUGGCACAACACCGAUCUCAAAGGCCCUCUACUGAAUGGCCUUCAUUGAGCUGAAGGAGCUGAAAGCUCAGCUCGAGGAUCUACUGGAUAAGAAAUUCAUCAGACCUAGUGUAUCUCCCUAGGGUGCACUAGUCCUCUUCGUCAAAAAGAAGGAUGGUAGUCUACGGCUACGCAUCGACUAUCAGGAGCUCAAUAAGGUCACUGUGAUGAAUAAGUAUCCUCUUCCUCAUAUCGAUGAUUUAUUUGACUAGCUUCAGGGAUUAUCUGUUUAUCGGAAGAUUGAUCUGCAAUUCGGUUAUCACCAACUAAAGAUCCGAGCCGAGGAUGUGUCGAAGACAGCUUUCCGAACUCGUUACGGCUACUACGAGUUCACAGUGAUGUAGUUUGGGCUCACUAAUGCCCCGACGGCCUUCAUGGAUAUGAUGAACAAGGUGUUUUGGCCAUUUUUGGGAUCAGUUUAUCGUGGUCUUCAUUGAUGACAUCUUGAUCUACUCGCGGAGCGACGAAGAAUGCGAGGAUCAUCUACAAUGAGUACUCCAGCUACUUCGAGAUAAUAAGCUUUAUGCUAAGCUCAAGAAGUGUGAGUUUUGACUCCACGAGGUAUUCUUCUUAGGGCACAUCGUGACUCAGUCGGCUAUCACGGUGGACCCGAAGAAGGUGGCUUCAGUGGUUGAGUGUCCUAGACCAACCACAAUGACAGAGAUCAUAAGUUUUCUUAGCUUGUCAGGUUAUUACUGGUGAUUUGUCAAAGGUUUUGGCAAAAUCGCCACACCGUUGAAUAGACUGACGAGGAAAGGGAAAAAGUUUUGGUGGACUCCUGAGUGCCAGUAGAGUUUUGAGGAGUUGAAGGACAGAUUGACCCAUACACCCAUUUUGACCUUAGCGCGACCGGGUGAGGUUUUCGUGGUCCAUUGCGACGUCUCACGGGUAGGUUUGGGGUAUGUGCUCAUACAAUAGGACCGGGUCAUUGCUUACGCUUCGCGCUAGCUAAAGGGCUAUGAGAGGAACUACCUGACUCACGACCUCGAGCUUGCGGCAAUAAUGUGUGCCCUUAAGCUGUGGAGGCACUACCUCUAUAGGGCACAUUGCAAGGUUUUCACUGAUCACCAGAGCCUAAAGUAUCUUUUCACCCAGAAAGAGAUGAACCUCAAACAAAGGCGAUGGCUCGAGCUCUUGUAGGACUACGACCUCUCUAUCUAGUAUCAUCCGGGAAAGGCGAAUAUAGUGGUUGACGUCUUGAGCGGGAGUAGUCAUCAGCUGAGUUGUCCUUUGUGAUUACGAGGCAAGAUCGUCUUGUGGAGGAGUUCCAUCGUCUCGAGAUAGAGGUUGUCCUCACUGGAUCCACGGCCCAAUUGAUGACCCUAGUGGUGCAGCCUGCAUUGACGGAGCAGAUUAUGCUUGGACAGCAGAGUAACCCCUACUUGUAGAAGGUGCGGGCAGAUGUUGAGCAGGGCAAAGAAUAGGACUUCUCCAUUCUUUCGGACGUAUCUCUUCAUUUCAGAGGCAGGUGGUGUGUGCCUAGUGAUGCGGAGCUGAGGAAAGACAUCUUGUCCGAGGCGCAUCGAUUCUCUUACACUGUUCAUCCUGGUGGAAUCAAGAUGUCUCGCGAUCGAAAGCAGAAUUUCUGGUGGCCGGGGAUGAAACUGGACGUGGCACAGCACGUGGCUCAGUGCUUGGUGUGUCAGCAGGUGAAGGCCGAGCACCAGCGAUAGGUAGGAAAGCUGCAACCACUUCCAGUACUAGUGUGGAAGUGGGAGUAGAUUACGAUGGAUUUCGUCACGAGACUGCCCCGAUCACAGCGGGGCCAUGAUGCGAUCUGGGUUGUAGUGGAUCGGUUAACAAAAUCGCGCAUUUUCUACCAGUGCAUACUACUUGGUCCUAAGAUCGACUGGCACAGCUGUACAUCGACGAGAUUGUUCAACUUCAUAGAGUGCCGGCGUCGAUCGUAUCAGAUGGGAUAGUCAUUUCAUAUCCCAGUAUUGGCGGAACUUGCAGCAGGCCAUGGGUACGAGGCUGAAUUUCAGUAUGACUUUCCAUCCCCAGAACGACAGUCAAUCGGAGCGAGUCAUGCAGACUCUUGAGGAUAUACUCCACGCGUGCGUCCUAGAUUAUGGUGAGGGAUGGUUCAAAUACCUGCCACUAAUGGAGUUCGCCUAUAACAACAACUAACAGGAAAGCAUCAGGAUGGCACCGUGCGAGGCUUUGUAUGGGCGUCGAUGUCGGUUUUCUAUCUAUUGGGAUGGCGUUCGAGAUCGCCGGGUGAUCGAGCCGAACUUGGUAGAUGAUAUGGAGACGAAAAUUCGCAUUGCUAGAGAGCAGCUUUUGACUGCACCGCGUCGACAGAGUUGCUACGCGGACCAGUGGCAGCAUGACCUGGAGUUUCAGGUUGGCAAGCAUAUAUUGCUCAAGAUAUCACCCUCCAGGGGGAUCAAGCGGUUCGAGUUGCGGAACAAGCUUAGUCCGUGGUUUGUUGGACUAUUUGAGAUUCGGGAGCGUGUUGGUUCGGUAGCAUACAGAUUGGCCCUUCCUCCGAGUCUUGCCCGGGUGCACAACAUUUUUCACAUGUCCAUACUUCGAAAGUACAUUCCAGAUCCAUCCCAUGUUAUCAGUCCGACGACAAUUCAGCUGCAGGAGAAUCUGAGUUAUAAGGUGGCUCCGAUGCGGAUAUUGGCACGUGAGGUGAAGCAACUAUGGAAUAGGAGCUUCUGUAUGUGAAAGUCUAGUGGGAAAAUCACAAGGAGAGUGAGGCAGCUUAGGAGCUUGAGUUUUCUAUGCGGGAGUGGUAUUCGCAGGUUACGGGAGAUGUAUGAUUAAGUUUCGACGACAAAACUUCUUAUAAGAAGGGGAUGAUGUAAUAUUUUAAAUCAAGGAAAUUAGAAAUUUGAAUUUGAACUUUGAUUUAAAUUGAAUUAUAUAUAUAGAGAGAGAAAGGGAGAGAGAGAGAGUUCGGCUGGGAUAUUAUCGAUAGCACUAAGGAUUUGGUGCUAUCAAGUUUUCCACCAUUAGAUUUAACCCUUUGAUUAUUUUUACUCGUUAGAUUAUAUUAUUCAACCAACCACUCACUCAAUCCUAGGGGGGCUCACAUCAUCGUAACCACAUAUUUCUCAAUCCAAGGGGUAAAAAACUAAUAGCACCAAUAGCUUGGUGCUAUUGAUAGUAUUCCAGCCUAAUUCUAUAUAUAUAUAUAUAUAUAUAUAUAGAGAGAGAGAGAGAGAGAGAGAGAGAGAGUCUGACUGGGAUACUAUCGAUAGAACCAAACAUUUGGUGCUAUCAAGUUUUAUGCCUUUAGAUUUAACACUCUGACUAUUUUUACCCGUUAGAUUAUACUAUUAAACCAAUAACUCACUCAACCCUACGGGUCCCACAUCAUCUUAACCGUAUAUUUUUUCAUCCAAGAGCUGAAAAGCUAAUAGCACUGAUAGCUUGGUGCUAUUAAUAGUAUUUUAGCCUAGUUUUAUAUAUAUAUAUAUAUAUAUAUAUAUAUAUAUAUAUAUAUAUAUAUAUAUAUGACGUGGCUACUAUACUAUUAUGAGUAUUGGAGCCCCCGUGCUCAUAAGUUGUUUUCGAUGAUGGAGCUUCUGAAUCGACGAUCCACUCCGUUAAAUAUGAUCUAGAGUAUUUGAAACUUCUAGAAAAUAAAUUUCGUAAAUUUUCGAAAUCAUAAUAAAGUCCAUCAAGCGGGCAUAAUAUAAACAGUCAAAAUUGAACGACGUCCUAAAAAAGGAUGAUCAGAUCCUUCAAUUCAAGAUCAGAGUUAUUGAUCUUUAUCUAGGUAGUGAAUAGAAUUUUCUAUCAAAAAUUCAAUAAAUUCCGAUUCUUUUACACCGUUAAACUAGCAAGUAUCCCAUACCGGCCAUUAAAAAUGACCAAAUUUGUGACCUCUUGAUCGUAAGGAAAAUGAUGUCAAAAAAUUAUAAAUUUUGAUUUCUAGAAGUUUUAAAUGCUGUAAAUAACGUUUAACGGUAUGGAUCGUCGAUUCGGAAGCUCUAUCAUCGAAAACGAUUUAUGAGUAUGAGAGCGAUCGUACUCAUAAUAGUAUAGUAGCCGGACUCUAUAUAUAUAUAUAUAUAUAUAUAUAGAGUGGAGCUAGAAUACUUUUACAAGUAUUACCUGGGUGGUGCUUUAGUGUUUUUAGUCCUUGGAUGGAGAGAUGUGAGGUUGAGAUGAUGGUGGUAGGUGGUGGUAGGUGGUGGUAGGUAGAAUAGUGUUUGAUCCAAGGACUAUUAGUAAUUAGGAAGUAGAUCCAAUGGCUAAAAACCUAAUAGCACCAUGGGGGUGAUACUUGUAAAAGUAUCCUAGCUCAACUCUCUCUCUCUAUAUAUAUAUAUAGAGAGAGAGAGAGCUAGGCUACUAUACUAUCGGUACCACGGAGGGCUCUGUGCUACCAAGUUGUUUUCGAUGAUGCGGCUUCCAAAUCGACGAUCAGCUCCGUUAGACCUGAUCUACACUAUUAAAAAUAUUUAGAAACUAAAUUUCAUAAUUUUUCAAUAUCAUUUACCUAUCAAACAAGUAGUCUAAAAUUGAACAGCUGAAAAUAAAAAUCUCAUAAAAAAUGAUGAUAAAAAGAAUUAAAUUCAAGAUCAUAUAUACUUAUCUUACUCUAAAUAGUGAAAAGAAUUUUCUAUAAAAUUUUCAUCGGAUUUGGAUUGUUUUACAACGUUAAACUCUCAAACACACCACAUCGGCCAUUAAAAUUGUCAAUUUUGAGAUAUUUUGAUCACUAGUCAAAUGAUGUCGAGAAAAAUCUAAAAUUUAGUUUCCAAAUACUUUCAAUAUACUUUCAAUAGUGUAGAUCAACUCUAACAGAGCCAAUCGUUGAUUUGGAAGCCACAUCAUCGAAAACCACUUGGUAGCACGGAAGCCUCCGUGCUAUCGAUAGCAUAGCAGCCGGACUCUCUCUCAGAGAGUCCAGCUGUUAUACUAUCGAUAGCACCAAGCACUUGGUGCUAUCAAGUUUUCUACUGUUAAAUUAACCCCUUUGAUUAUUUUACCCGUUAAAUUAUACUAUUCAACCAACUACCNUAGAAAUAAAAUUUCAUACAUUUCCGAUAUUGUUUUCUUAUCUAUCGAGUGGACACAAAAAUGAACGGCUGAAAAUGAAUAUUCUUUAAAAAAUGAUGAUAGGAGUCUUGUAAUCAAGAUCAAAAGUAUAGAUCUUGUUUUAAAUAGUUUAACGAAUUUUCUAACAAAAAUUCAAUUGAUUUGGAUAUUUUUAUGCCGUUAAACGAGAAAACGCCUCAUAUCGACCAUUAAAAUUACAAAUUUUGAAACACUUUGAUCAUUAGGCAAAUGAUGUCGAAAAGAUUUGAAAUUUGAUUUCUAAACACUUUAAGUGGUAUAGAUCAUGUUCAACGGUGUCGAUCGUCGAUUUGGAGGCUCUAUCAUCGAAAACAAAUGGGUGGCAACGGAGCCCGUUUGCUAUUGAUAGUAUUCU